GUUCAUAGCUUUUUUUUUUUUUAGCUUUUUCUGAAAAGUACUUAGACCAGUGAUACCUAUCUGACCCCAUGCCUGGACUACUUCUGAUGUCUUUAAAAGGAGGCAGGAAAAGAAAAGAAAACACAAAAAUUACUUUAUAACAUAAGUCAAAAAGUCUAAUUUUUGCCUCUUUAACUCUCAGUUUCUCCUGCAAUGAUCUCCUCUCAAACUGCAUUAUUUUCCAAAAUUACUGAGCUUUCUUGCAGCACUGAUUGCUUCCUCUGUGACUCUAGCCUCUAACUUCUUCUCUUAGGUUCAACAACUCUUGAUUUUUUUAAAGAAACUGUUCUUUAACUUGGCGGGGGAAUGGGUUUGUUUGUGUACCAUGCUUGUUUCAAUGCUUUCUGCAGCUGCUAUAACAGAGUCACUGACAGUUCAUCGUCUUUGCAGGGUACAAGAAGUGGAGUUGAGGCUCAGCGAUUUGGACACAAGGAAUAGACCUUUUGAAGUCCAGGACACAAGGUAAUGGUUAUAUUAUGUACAUAUAACAUGGCAACAACAAGUUUGAUAGAAAUUGGCCCAAAAGUACAAACAUUUUACAAACCAGUAGCUCAUGGUGUUGUAUUGUUUACACUUGACCAAAAUUACCCUUUUCACACUGAUUGAACUUGAUUUGUGAGAUGUUUGUUUGGGUAAUAAAUUGACACAAACUAGAGAAAGCUCAGCACGAGUCAGCAGUAUUUACUGUAUUGCUUGCAGACUUUUUGUAGUACAAAGAACAGCACUACAACAAGGAAAGACUCAUAAAAAUAGCCAGAGCAUUCAGCUGCUUAAAGUUAAUCAAUAACAACAAGGGAGAGAAAGACUAUAUCUUUUUGUGUAGUUAGAGCGCAUCACUAGUAAGCAAAACCAUCCAAAUCUUGUUUUUUUUUUUUUGCACCUUGUUUUGUACAUUAUAAUACUUACACAGAGAGUCCAAGUCAUAUGAACAAUAAGUCCUUUCACUAAUUUCUCCUCUCAAUGACUUUAUAAGUGAACAGCUCAUGCAUCAUUCUUCUCAUUGACUAAUGUCCCGCUUCAUUUUGUCCUUUCUGCUUUGCCGUCGCCCGCCGUGCAACACUGAUUAAUGCCAUCACAGCAAAUUAGAUAGCCCAGGAACAACAUGUUUAUCAUUUUCAAGCAUUAAGAAAAGUACUUUCCUGGUUCAUUCCCUUCAGUGCUUUCAAAGCAGGGGGAACAUCAGGGUGAUGUAUGUAUGUACUGUAUAGAGGGGGAAAUAUUAAUUGGGAAAUAGCCAGAGAUGUGGCCUUUCUUCUAAAGGUUGUGAGACAGAGGACAAGAGCUGAGAGUGAGUUACCUUCAAAGUAAUGGUGUCAUUUUUUACACUAUACUCUCACUUCUUCUGUGUUGGCUGAUUUGAACAGCGGACAGGAUUUUUUUUUAAGCUCUCAGCUGAAAUCUUUUUGCUCUGAGAUUUGUUGGUUGAUGAAAUUGUUUAUAUUUAUUGCAUCAGUAGUUUAAUAUCAAACAUAUAUAUCUGCAGGUUGUAGGAGGAGAAUGUAACCUCUUGGUCUGCUUUGAACCUGGAGCUUUUUGAUGGCCAAUCGUGGGCACCUCCACUGUGAACCACUGUCUGUGUAACGUAUGACAACAAUGAUGAUGGCAUGUGGGAGAACCUGUGAGGUUUUUGGCUACUCUAUCAGUUGUGAGAAACUUUGUUAAUACUAAACAACACAAAAGCCUGAAUUUGUUUACAUUGUAGAGACUUUUGCAAACACCACCUCAACCAUUACCUUGUUGGCCUGGUUGCACGCUAUUUUAUUUACAGUUACUUUUGCAGAUCCCAUGCAUGCAGAUCCCUUUGUCAUGUGAACUUGGAUUUUUUUUUUUUUUUUUUAGACCAAAGGGAAAGAUUUUUCUGUGUUUUGAUGGGACUUUUCUUCUGGACCAAAUACAGUCAUCAACUGUUAAUUGAUUCAUAUAAUCAUCAUAUCAUAUUGUUACAUUACAUAGCACUACAUCAUAUAUGUUACGGAUAUAGUCGAUUACACUCUCUGUCUCCUCAUAUUGUUACCCUAUUAAAAUAAUGGCCUAAGUCAUUUUUUGACGAAAAUGAGUUUUGGCCUAAAUCGUCUCUUGAUAAUGGAGAUGAUUGAUGGAGAUGAUGAUAGAAAAUUGGGGGAAAUUUUGAUUUUGUACAGAGAGAAAUUUAAAAAACCAACCCUUUACGACCCAUUGACAUGUUAACCCCUUCGUUCGAGUAGCGAUGUUAUUUUAUUUUAAGAGGCUAACAGGAAACUGCAAUAGCAGCGUGAAAACCUUGCUGGCCAUUGAGUUACAAUAGCAGCCUCAGGUAUUGACAGAAAGACAGCAAGCACUCAGAUAUUCUCAUAUCAUUUUCAUCCUCAUAUCAUGCUGUGAACGUAGCCUGGCAUUGGUAUGUUCUUACCCAAUGUUCCCUCUCCCAGGCUGUAUAUCACAUCAUAAAGAAUACAUAAACCCCUCUCCAAAAAAAAAAACCUACCCAGUCUCCAAGGCAUCAGUGCUGAGCCCUGUUCUGCACCGAAAAGAGCUCAAACAAAGAACUUUCCUUGGAAAGAAAAAGAAGAAAAACAACAUCCCUCAAACAAAACAAAAAAAAUCUAGAGACAAUGCUAAUAACUGUAAAAUAUGAAUGGUGACUUGACAUAUUUGCAAAUGCGCUGAGAGGCGCCCUACUAAACGCGAUGAUAUGGGAAACCAAUGGCAUGGAAGAAAGCGGUUGUGGGCCCCCAUCUCUCGCCAUUAGAUGUUCAGUGGAAGCUGUCAACAGAAGGCGCAUUUGCCUGCCAAGCUCCCUCUCUGACUGAGCUCUGUGCCUGCAGCACGCCCCGAGCUCCUCUUUGACUCAAAGGCUUCAUUUCACUUCUUUUAGCCUCAUUCGCAUGUGCUGCUACACAAAAACCCGGCUUGCUCGCAGCCUGCCUCUCGUGUGUGUGUGUGUGUGUGUGUGUGUGUGUGUGUGUGUACUGCUUUGUGUCCAUUUUACUGUGUUUCCGUGUGUUUGUCCAUGACUGUGUGUGAGAGUUUUGUACAAGUGCACGUGUACAUGCAUGUGUGUGUAAAUCACAAGGUGAUGCCGCUCUGACAGCCAAAAAGCCACAGUGACAGAAACACAGAAAGAGACCAGAGGGCACAGUCCAUCAUUAUCAUUUUCUGCCCAUAUUAGCAUAAAGCUAGCUCUAUAUAUCCAGGAAACACUUUCAGCUCGAACUUCCUGUGACAUACUGUAGGUUUCUAUAGCAGCUAAAUAAAUGUCUCUGUGUAAUCCAGCUUCUGGAUCAGGCCACCUGAAAAAAAUCAUGAGUCAUCAUUUACAUGGGUGAUAUGUUCAGCACUGUCCCCUGAGGUUGUCAACUAGAAACGGUUUCACUUUGGAUUGUCACAACCCAAAAAAGAGUGCUAAACUACCUUCAACAACACACACAGUUUGUACACAUCCUGUAGUGUCAAUGCUACUGCAUCACAGUCAGUAUGAAGAGUAACUUCAUUAAGUUCAUUAGUAGUUAGUUCGAAAACUUUUUCAGACUAGGUAGGAUUUUCUUUGUAUCAAAAAAUAUACCAAUGAAAAUAAAUGAAUGAAUAAAUAAUGUGUUCAAAAGAAAGAGAGAAAAAACAACAGUAUGUGUAAAACUAACAAGACUCAUACAGCAAAGCCCAAAGUUAACAGCUUUAAUUAUCAGAUCAAGGUUGUUGUAAUAAAAUAAUAUUUUUAAAAAACUUGCACUCUUGAAGAAUUUCAGGGACAGUGUGAGUUGGGGCUUUGUAUCCUUUAAGUAAGAGAAAAUCGUUUUCAAGAAAAGGAUAAUGUAUAGCAGGGGUCCCUAUCCUUCAGACCUUAGACAAGUGAAAGCCCUUUGGUCAUUUCAAACCAGACUGUGAAAGCCCAUUCAAGAACCAGAGGGAGGAUGUAAUUGUCAUAUCCUACUGCAUUUUGUUUUGUUGAUUCGAUAUCUCAAGCCAAAUUAUACUCAAUUCAAGUUAAAAUCAACUUUGUUUUUACUAGUUGUAUUUAAACAAAAGUGUCAAUAUGAAAUAAAAACAUCUUAUUUAUUAUUUGGUUAAAGCCGUAUGGGCUUUGCAGAGUGAGAAGUCAUUGCCAAUUUGUUGCUAUGCCAGUGAGUAAGGAAAAAAAAAAGAUGGGCAAGAUUAACAAGUUUUUUUACUGGCGUUCAAGGAAAAUUCCUUGGCUCUGUGAGGAUAUCAGAGACACAAAGAAGUACAAAAUUUGACCAAAGUGAGGAGAGCCAUGUAAAAUUAAGUUUUAUUACUUAACAGCAGGUUAGAUGUUAGAAACACUGUCACUCACUCAUAAACACCUCAUUGGAGCCGCUAAUGUGGUUUUGAUUUUUAGAGCUCAGGUUGUAUUAUGUUUCUACUGUGCUUCAUAUAUAUUGAAAUGAUAGUCAUGGGGGAUUCCCAUGAGAUGUCCACCCUACAGGUCCAUCAGAAAUAUGACAGGGUUAGCAAGACUCUGAUUUGCAGUGGAGUCUUCUCUUUGGAGCUUUGGGCUUGGUUAAUAAGUGCAGGGUUAUAAAAAAAAUAUGUUGUCGCUAGUAUCAACAGGAUAAGAAAACAGAACUUCAUCUUGAAAAAUAAAUUUUCGUGCAUCAAAAGUUCUCCGUCAAGAAGUUGUUCAUACCGGGAAAUAAUGCUUGAAAUGGUUAAUUCUGUAAAGUUUUAGAAAGAAAUUGAAAUAAAGAGUUCAAGCGUUGGAGUGAGUAUUUUAUAUUUACUUUUUUAUGAGUAUAGUUGAGUCAUCAAUUUUUUUGAGACUUUUCAUUUUUUAUAUGAGCUCAAAUAGCCUAAAAAAUAUGACAAAGAUUUAGUUGAAUUAGGAAUUAAGACUACUUAAGCCAUUAUCUGGAGAACAGGUAGUAGUUUCCUGUGAAGUGUUUGACUUCCUAACACAGGCUGUCCUCUGGCCCGUCUGUCUUUGGCUAGCAGCCUGAGGGUCGGACCAGUGGAGUGGAAGUUGAAGAGGGCUGUUUGAAUGUAAUAGGUUUUGACUGGCAUGUGUUACAUGCUUCACUGCACCAUUGAUUGAGCGCUUGUUUGCUAAAUCACUGCUGGUUUCCUCUGUCUGGUAGGCCUGUGACACGUGUGGUGUGUGUGGUCACUUCUGCAGGGUGGAGGGAAAGAGAAGAGCUGGUGCAACCCCGGUGACUCAGAGAGGACAGAAGUUAAAAAUGACACAAAGAAAAGGUGGAAAAAUAGACGCAGACAGAAGAUGAUUGAACCUCUUGACCUCUUUUUUCUUGAACUCACCUAAUCAGGAAUCAACUUAUCCCCAAAUCUUGGCACUGAGGUCUCUUCUUUCACGGACACUCACAAUAACACCCCUCCUCCCCCUCCUCCUCUACCUCUCGACCAUUUCACUCCUCCUCUGCCCCCACCUCCCCUGUUUUAGACAUGCUUUUUACAGCUUGAAGGAUGUGGCAGAGGAGGGAGGGUGGUGUCAUGGGUCAAUGUCACUCAGCUUGGUCCACUCAGCGGAUGACUGAAGGGAGAUGUCUUGAUGGCUGAUUUUGCCUUUCGCCAUUUUUAAAGCUAAACAGCUGACCAGAUAAACGUAAAACUACAAAAAAAAAGAGAUUUAUUGAUAACUGAUGUGUUUUCAUUCUGAUUAAAAAAAACAUUUUGAUUAACCAACUAUUAAUUAUUAUUGUGCAGCUUAACGUUUCCACUCACAACACUGGUGAUGUAAAUUGAUUGGACAUAUAGGGACAGGACCAGGUUCUCUGAAAGAUGCCCUUUUCAGAGUUCCUUUAAGUGCCUGACAGACCAAUUUGAUCUGCAUUUUUUGGGGAAGUGCAAACCAGAAAGUGACUGAAUGCUAUAGCUGUAUUCCAAUACGGGCUAACAGGCAGUCAAAUAUGCUAUUUUAACUUAACCAUAACAUGAUCUCUCUCCUAAACAUCUCUGUCUUUAGUGUAUGUGGCUGCUCAUCAGUCAGGGAGUUGUAAAAUUACCACAAUUCAUCAGGAUGAUGAAGUUUUUACAAUUAAUGACCUGAAACACUGUGAUAAUAUGUGAUACUGAUAUAAGAGUCAUCUCCCAGAGUACAUGAGAAUGUAAAAGGCCAAGUUUUUAAAGCUUAAAUACAUCCUCUUUAUGAGUCCUUAAAAAGAGCCACUUUUGAAGAUUUGGUAACACUUUAUUUCACGCCUAUUUCUAUAACACAUUAUAAAUAUAUUUAUAUACAGUUGCAUUGCAUUAUCUAUGUGGGCAUUAUCAGUGAGUUGUUAACAGUUGUAACACAUUAUAUAAUACCUGACCUUGUAUGUCAUGAUAAAAUGCUUUAUAAUGUGUUAUGAUUAUUGCUAUAAAGCAUUAUGAUUAUUUAUGAGUGUUUAUAACUAUAUUUAUACAGUGCUACAAUGUGAUUAUAACACGUUAUACAUGUAUUUAUAAUGCGUAAUAGAGAUAGGCGUCAAAUAAAGUGUUACCGAAGAUUUACAUAUUGCAACUUUGCUGUAUAGCUUUCUACAAUUAAAAGUUAUACAAAGUCAUUAACCUCUGUUAGAUACUUGAUGCAAGUAAUUCAGCCAGACAUGAUUAGUGUAAACAGAGUGUAUAGAUAAUAUUCAUAAGUGUGUGUGUUUGUGCACGCAAACUUCAUGCCGUUUCAUGUAAGUAAGUACCUGAGUUUGGCCACCGCAGCUAAAAGAUUCACCCUGUUAAAAGGAUGAAUUGUAAUCAUAUUAGUGAUCCAGUGUUACAGACUGGUCAACAAAUACUAUACAUGUGUAAACCCACCAUUUCAGUCAAUCACGCCCUUAUGCUAAACUAAAAUUUAAACAUCUCACAUGCUAAUGUUAGUUUUAGGCUCAAAGCUCUGCAGCAGUAAAGCAGAAGCUCACAGAGCUGCUUGCACGGCCGUAGAGUCUGUCUUGUUUCAGUGUUGACAGGUAGGUUUUCUUUAGUUUAAUAACCUACAUUAUAAUCAGGUUUGCAUGUUUAGAUAAAUCUUAAAGCUUGUUAAAUUCUUUUUUUGUUUGUGAGAGUGUGUAACAUAAACCAACUUGCUGUUUUGCGUCUUCUGGUCUAUUUCCCUCUUUAAUUUCAGAUCUCUGGUUUAAAGCACCUGAACUAACCAAAACCAACCCAGCGCCUGGAGUCCUCCCCUCCACUUUAGAAAGCCUCAACAAGUAAACAGUGUCUUUGCUGAUUACACCGCCUCUCUCGGCAGCCCAGGGUUAGCUACAACACUUUGAUCUGCUAUUGAUUGUCUGCCUCCUCCUCCUCAGCCCUACGCAUCCUUUCCUAGCUGCUGUUUAAACACAGGUGAGUCAGCCAGUGGCCCGAGGCGCUGAGCCUUAAACCAACGGCACGCUGCGUGCUUCUAACACUGACCCACUGAGGUUAAUUGGUAUCCUCUUGGUGCUGUAAAAAUUGUAAUUAUGUUUAAUGAGAGCAGUGGAGCUGUUUGCAGAGGAGAACAAAGAUUUAGGUUUAGACACAGAAGACCCUCACAUGGGUACUCAAGCAGGAUUGACUCGUUAUCUGUUAGAUUUUAAGAGUUUUUGACUGGUAUUUGCAAAGAAUUGCAGCAGAUGGGUCAAAGAAAAGAUAAUUCAAACUUUCAUUGGAGCUCAACUUAACCAAAUCAACUUAAUUAAAGGGAUAUUCCGGCAUAAGUUUAAGUCAAACACACCAUAACACCAAGUUAGACACCCCUUCUAGAGAUGAAUUUUGCCAACCGCUUGCUUCUCUAGUUACAUGAAUUUCAGCAACGACUGCACGAUAGCAAUACACAGCAAUUAUUACUUCAUAAUUUUCAUGAAGUAAUAAUCAUCAUAAUAAUCAUUUUGCACUACAGACGCAGUAGUCCUUCUGCCUUAGCGUCUCGGUCUGAUUGCAUUUCCAUAAAGUAAUGAUUAUAAAUGUUCUUCAUUGAGCUGCCAAAUUUUGCUGCACUCUGUGAUCAACUCGUCAGGGCUCCCCCACAAACAAACAGCUGCUGGAGGAGAGUAGGUGAGUUGUGUUUAGUCUCUUUGCUGAAGAACUUAGGCAAAGUUAAAAAGAUGUUUGGUGGCUAGUACUAUGGUUUGGACCCUAUAUGUACUGUUGAUGAAGUUAGGUGCUGUUCUGAGCAUUCUUUGUGGCUACAAGUGGCUUUUUGGUUGAGGUUUGCACAUGGAGACAUAGACCGCUGUGUAUUGCUAUCAUGCGGUCGUUGCCGAAAUUGGUGUAACUAGAAAAGCAAGCGAUCAGCAACAUUUACCUCUUUAAGUUUCUGACGGUAAUUCAUGUUUAAACAAACAAACUACAGUUUAACAUGAUUUUUAAACUCAAAGUAAGUAAAAUUGAGAAACUUCAAUUUGUCCACUCGGAGUUCUUUUGAAAGUGUAGGUGCAUUUAAUCAAUUAGGCUAAGAGUAAACAAAAAUAAUUGUGAAAAUAAUGUAAAUAUUUCUUUCAGUUAAUAGAAAAAUCCACUGGACUCUUGUACAGUUGAAAAGUUUUUCCAGUUCUUCCAAAUGGCUUGUUAAGUUUUGGAUAUCAGCAGGGACUCCUAUGUUUUUGUCCCUGUAGAGAUACCACCCUGCCUCCAGAUGGAGGAUGAAGUGGUUCAAGGAAAAGAAAAAAAAAAGAAGCUCAGAAAAGGCAGAUUUGAUUUUUAUUUUUGGUCCUAAACAGCUCUGACAGAACACAUUAAUUAUAGCAAAUACAUGUUUGGACUUGUGAAGCAGUGAGUCUGUCUUCAUAGGAAAACCUUAAGGAGUGGAUAAUUUGCUCAAAGAUGUUAUACAUGUUCACAUUUUUAUGGGAAGAAAAUUCUUUCAUCUUCAGAGCGGAUGAGGUGAUGAAGGGCAAACAUUAUUUUCACACAAAAUAACUGGAGCUGGACUACAGACUUUUUCUCUUGAACCAUGAUCAUCUUUCGGUCAACGUUCUCGAUGAAAAAAAACAAAAAUAUAAGUUAGGCGUAGUAGUCACAACCUCUAUCUUUUGAAGUUGUUUAAAAUAUUAUUGUGUUUCCAGAUGCAACAGUUGUUAGAGUUUAUUAAAAUAUCUUCUUUAACCACUCCUUGAAAUAAUCCACUCCUCCACUUAAGCAUUUUCUUACAGCAGUGUUUUCUCAUGUUGAGGUACCUUGACACAGACAAAAAAACACUUUUUCAGGAAUCUGUGCGCCCAUCUCCAAAUCACUGUGAAAUUUUAAACUUUAAGAACUGAAAAUAUGGUUAAAUUAACAAUCGGACAAGAAAAAUAUCGAUCUUUGGUGUACCAUCUAAAACUGUUUAUGAGCCCCUUCUUCUCACCAUAGGUCAAUACCAAACGUAUGUGUUGCUGUUUUGAUUCGUCAUGGCUUCAAAGCUCAGCUGGAAGUAAAGAACUUACGAUCUGUUGGUGAGGCACUGGGGCAAGCCCGCUUUCAAGCCCACAGGCAGUGAGUCGUAUAGAUUUUACUUAGAUUAUGUGGCACAUCAGAAAACACCCGAGUGGGUGAUGUUUUCAGCUAGCAGUGUAACCAUUUAUAAAGACUGAGAAACCACCUUGUUUUUGUGGUCUAGGCGCUGUAAUUGAAAACCCAUUUCAUCGUCUACAUUAACGGCAGUCUAGACUUGAAGAUCAGCAAAAGAAAUGGCAACAACCAGUUCUCCGUUUGUUCUUCAUAUCCAUGUCUUUUAAGCAUUCCCAUUGUUUUCCUGCCUUUGUUGCCAUGAAAACACAGAGCAGAACCCCGAAGGACCAAGGCCACAUUUUGUUUUUUCUUGAUGUCUCUGUGUGAUUAAGUGUCUUCAGAGCUCUCAGUGUCAUGUUCCAGCUCUCUUCUUACCUUAAUGAGAAAGUGCAGGAAAGAAGUCACUACCCGGUAAGUCUGUUCUUAUUUUUUUUUUCUUGUUCAGCAUGUCUGUUUCAUUUCUCUCUCACACCGCUACGUGAGCGAGGUGCAGCUGUGAGAUGAUGAAGUUUCAGGGAAAGGUGGAUGUGCCAUCCAUUACAGGAGGUGGAAAGGUGCAGAUAAAUCACCUUAUCAGCCCUGCCUUCUCCCCACUGAGCUGAGGGAGCAGAGCAAGAGGGAAAUCCAUCAAGCUCCACAAAUGGGACAUGACUCAGAGAUCACUGUGCCUCUGUGCUGGGCUGUGUACAUACCUUACACCUGCUUUAUCAUUGGAGAAUAACUCGGAACAACGAACAAGUGGAUAUCAUCCUGUAAGAUGCAAAAGCAUCCAGUGAAAACCCCAGACCUUCAGCAAACAGAGCUCAGGACUUCUCAGACAGUGCAUGUAGAAUGAUACAAGACCUGGAGUAGUUUGGAUUUUUUUUAAGUAUGUCCAAAAAUAUGAGAGUCAGGAAAUUUGAGGAGUAUAGAGGAUGGAUGUGGCUAAUGUUUACAGGGCUAGCAACACCAGCCUUUGACCUCCUGUGAGGUUCAGGACCACCUGUACUGGAUGAGCAUCACUCUAGUUGAGUAUCUCCACAUUCUUCAAAAUACAAAACACUGCCACACUGCACCACGCUACAAGAUGCACACAGCCAUUAUUUUACACCCACUGCUACAGUUGUGAGCGGUUGCACUAGAACUUGGACAAAACAGAUGGUGAGCCAAAAUACUUCAUUCAUUCAACCAUCUAGUGACUCUGAGCUGAAAACCUUAAGUCAUCAAGUCAACCAAACACAUACAACCCUGUUGACUAUAAAUGAAAGCAAUGCAUGGACAUGGAUCAAAGUCCUUUUUCACUAUCAGCUGGUGACACCAUAAGACCCAAAAGGUCGGUGAUCGCUUUGAAGGGGGAAUAUUAUUCAUAUUAUAACAUACUUCUUCACAUGGUUAUUACAUUCAUCCUUUAUCUAUACAUAGCAUUAUUUUCCAUUAUAUUUUUCGUGUCUGCAGCAUUGUUACCAAAUAAACCAUGACUGAAUCAUAUGCAGGUUCUGCAACAUCAUCAUUGACUUCAAAAGUAUUACUCUCUCGUGCCUUUUCACUAGUUAUUUUUCUUAUAUUGGCAAAGUAAAAUAAUAAUAAUAAUUCAGACACCCUCUUCUUUCACGAGUGCGUCUUUUCUGCCUGUUGUGCGUAAACUUUAAAGCCAAGUAAAAAAACAUGACCAGAUACUUUUAAGGGCGUGCUAAACAUAAUAAAUUAAUGUCAACUAUCAAUUCAUCAUACGCUCAUCUGUUUUCAGUGAUCCUCUGCAUCUGAGCAUACACAUCCACAAUUACUGUACAGUGUGCACCUAUGGCUCCUUCAUACAAGGUUGCUAAGCAACAAUAAUGACAGUGACCUUUUAGAAAUCAGUGGGAUAUGAACCACCAGUAGAAGGGGACCACGGCACACACACAUACUUUUAGGGCCUCAGUGUUUAUUAUCAGCUGGCAGACUGAACGGACUGACUGAAAACAGCACACAUGCAAAAAAACACACACCUUCACAUAACAUCACGCACAAGCAUUAAGCACAUUUUUGCCCUUGGGGAAAGCAGAGGAGUUAGCAUUUCCCCGCCAGCUCUGAAUGUAGCAGCUUGUCACCACACCCCCUUAAUGUAAGAGCAGUCUAUUGGUAUUCAGCUGCACAGGUAUCUAAGAAAGCAAAGCCUUUAAACAUCUUAACUGCUGUUUGUUCUGUCUCUAGAGGGCAUGUGCAGUACACUGGGGGUUUGGGAAUAGACAAGGAGAAUUGCAAAUUUGUUUUGCCAGCUACAUGUGCUCUGUAAUUCCAUCUCUGAGCUCUGCAUUGUAGCUGAGUGUGUUAGGUUUAUACAUAAACACCCACAAAGGUGGGAUGUUUUGUUUAAUUCUUAAAAGAAUUGGAGUUGUUUAGUUAUGAUUAAUGACUUCUCCACAGGAGAAACAUGAUGCAGACGGCAGAUAUCGUGUUGCAUUGUGUUGUUGUUUUUGUUGUUGCUCUCUUGCUAUUUAUUUCCUCUGAGUAGACAGAAAUCAACAAGUACAUACAAGACAUAACAGAGGUUUGUAUUUCAUAUCUAAUUGGCACAAGACACCACCUCUGUAACAAAUAAUGGAUCACUAAACGCGAACAGCUAUUUGUAUAUACAUAUUUAUAUGACACUCGACAGAUAUUAGUUUUCUUUGCAUUUGAUAAAAUCAAACAAUUAUAGAAUACAGAAAAAUAAGAAACACAAUUUCUGAUUUGAAUGAACAUUUUCUCAAAUAAAUGUAGAUUGAAUAAUUUCACUUAGAUGAGUGAAAUAUUGACACAAAGAAACACUACUUGGAAACUCUUUUAGAUUUGUUAAGUUGUCAUUUAUGGUGUAAGAAAUAUGAUGUAGACACUGGCACUCAGGCUGAUGCGAUGUCCACUCGAUGUGACGCAGAUUAUUCAAAAUAUCAAUACGAUAUAGUCAGCCGACCAAUUGCCUAUAAAGUUUUUGCUUUGUUUUAAUUUUAGUAAAUCUAUGGGAAUCCAUCAGAAGAGCCUUCAAUGGACAAUUUUUGUCCUUAAGCUAUCUGUUAAGUACGGCGGUUGUAGAUAGACUUGAAUUUUUCUGCCGUAAAAGACGAGAAAUCGAUAAAACUAGACAGGACUGAGGCCUGUAAACCAUGCAACCUUGUAUCAUGACAUCAUUAUGUAUGUCAGGCUUAACUCUCGGCACUGUAGCUGUUCGUGUUUUACAGUACAAGCUAUCUGAUGCCUCACUUAAGUUCAGCGCAACAGGGAACAGCUUAAAUGAAAGCAGCAAAAGUUCCCCAGACGGGAAGUGUAAGAGAACAGGAAACCUUCUGUGUGUCUGUCUCUUAAGUCCUGGGCAUGCAUCUGAAUGACAAACCUGUGUGUCUGUCCCCCUUUUAAGAAAUCCUUUACAAGUGCUGAGACACCGGGGCCCUGCUUGUGGAGGCUGUAUAUUUCUAUUCAUAAUUGAUGACCCGGACCCAGACAGACAGCACACUACACAUGUAAUAUGGAUUCACUCCUGGUUUCAGAUGCAUGCCCUCGUCUGGACUUGACUCUGAGCCAUCAUUGUGUGUGGAGAGAGAAGGGUGUGUGGGCACGUGAGAGAAAGAGAGAGAGAGUGUGUGUGUGUCUGCAUGUGUGAAAGUGUGUGUGUGAUAGGGUUGUUGCAGCCUGAAACGUAAUACACCAACCUUGUGUUUCCCAGAUAAGCGUUGACAUGCUUUUGACUGAUAAUUCUCCAGAUGCUUUCACAGUUUUGUGUUUUUCAAAUUUUACAUUUUGUUACAUCGAUUACAUUAUUGCUCAAAAGUUUGAUUUUUUUAUUCUACACUCCCCACUCACACAAGGACCUUGACAAUAUGUAGACUCACAGUGGGUUAGCUGCUACUUUAGUUGCUUCCCAGGGACUCAUUGAUUUAAGUAACUAGGUCCUGGGGCCUUUGUUUAGUCUCACCUUACUGCUUUCUCUCCAUUUUAGUCAAGGUUCAUUAAAGUACAUCUUGUUUUUUCAGAUCCCUCCCUGCUUUCUUUGGCCUUGUGCAUGAUGUAAUCCACUACCUGUGUGAGUGUUGCUGUGUGUUACUGCAGCUCCAGGAAACAUUAAGAGACUGCCUGUCAGAGGUUUGAAUGAAAUGUAUUUUGUUGUAUUUCUUAUAGAUUCCCAACUUCUAAAUAAAAUGUUUUCAUUUAGGUCUUUAUCUGUCUAAAAGUAUGACAGGUUUGAAUAAAAAAGAUCAAGGUUUUCUUCAACUAUGAAUAAUGUGAAGACAAACCAGUUCAUAAAACAGAUUACUUAUGUUUUACUCGGGAAGAGUUCAGAAAUCAAUACUUGCUUGGAUGAACCUGGUUUUUAACUCCGGCUAUUAUGUGUCCUGGCUUUACAUCACCCAUUGCUCUGUUGCAUUGUUAUUAAGAGACAUCAUGUAAAAUUUCAUGUAGCUUGGCUUUGCUCUUGGGAUUAUCAGGUGAUCUCUGAUUGAACCCCUUGUGGUCAAAUGAGGUCCAUCUGUGUUUUAAUUCAUGGACAGUAACUUUACAUGAUUUAUGUAAUGUAAACCUGCAAAUAGAUUUGUUCUCCCUAAAUGUGUAGUGAGCCAGUGGUUUAUGAAAUUAAUUAUGAAGAAUCUUUAUUUUAAGUUACUGUUUGGCUUCUGAAAUCUUAAUUUAUGCAUCAAAUCUGUGUUAAAGGUUGCAAAGGGACCAAAACAGCAAUCACCAAAUGAAAAGCCCAUUCUCACUCCUGAGGAGUGACUGUCAGCGGUCUGAAUUUAACACCUUAGAUUACUCUGAUGUCUUUUCUAAAAGUCAUCCUGAAGACCGUGGAAAGUUAGCAAAAGUCAGGUUUAGAAGUAGUUGAACUCUGCUGUUGAUGUUUUUAUAAAAGAUUACGAAGGGUCCAAAUAUGGCAAAGCUUGCAAGCUUGAUCAGGAUCAGGCUGAUCUUACACUUGAUAUUUGUAAUUCCUACAACUGUAUAACAAACUCAUUCCCCCAAUUUGGCGCUCUGUUAGAUCUAGAUUUCUAGUCUUUGUUUCUGCUUUGCUGUUGCCCCAGCAUCCAUACAUAAGUGCAUGACUCAAGUGCUCGGCCCUAUCACCACCCCAGCAUCCACCUGAAAACUCUGACCACAGAGUUUAUGAUAUUGUCUCAUUGGGCCUCAGUUUCUCUUUGUAAAGGUGAAAUGUGUGUCAUAUUUGACAUAGCUCUGUUGUGAUAAUAAUAUAAAUGUUGUGAGAAACCAGAACAGAUCAGGGGGGUAGUUUGAUAAAUUUUUGUUAUUUAAGUUGAUGACUUUCUUGAUUUCUGUCCAGAUAAAAGCCACGUGUGCUUCAUCUGAAUGAGCCUGUUUCCUCUCUUUGUAUCCUGAUUGAUUCUGCCGUUUAAUGGACUUGUGUGUUCGCUUCCGAGUCUCACUUUCUCUCCUCUGGUCUCAACUGAAGUUCACAGGGGUCAGGGUUCAUACCCCACGUUCCCAUGGCAACAUAUGACACAUCACCCUCAAACAGAAACUCCCUCUCAAUCCUCCGUAAUGGAUUUGACCCCUGAACUCUGCCCCUCACUGCCUUUCAAACUGACAUAUAGCUGAGUGUGAAGCCCUGCUGGCUCUAGCCUGAAGCCAUAUCCUCCAUAUUACUCUGCACAUCUUUGCCAGCGAAGGGUUGAUGAUCAGCUCUUUGGCAGCAUAUGUCAUCAAAGUGAAGAGGCGUGCAUGUCAGGCUGAUACCAUCACCAAAAGCAAAAAAGAAAGAAGGAGCACUUUUACAUCUGUUAUGAUUUAACGUGAAUCAUAAUCUUUACCAGCAGAGCCUGACUCACUGCGACCUCACGCAGUUUCCCUGUCAUCAUUAUGCAGCUUCACCUCACUGCAGCCAAUCCCGUCGUCCAUCCAGCCUCGCUUGCUGCAUCAUUUAUGAGCACUAAUCAGGAUCCCAGGUCUGGUGUGCUAGCCACCCUACCGCUAACAUCACUUCCCUGACCUGACCCUGCCUGUUUCCCCACAGCAUUAACGCGUGUUUACGCUAACGCCUGCUCAUUAUGCCUAACUAUGCUAGGCCAGAGCCUGCUGCCUGAGCUGGAUCUAGGGGCCCUUUUUAACAUGCUCUAACCAGCCCCGGCGCCCCUCCCUCCCCCCUUCCUCCAAUGGGGUACUGAGAGUUGCUACGUGCUAAUCUCAAACAACAGGAAAAGGCAACAUCGGUAGCAAGUCCACAUAGAGGUGGUUUACUGGGAGACAUGGCCUGCGAGGACCUGCGAUCAGCCUCCAUUAUUGUUGUAAUUAGCGCGCCUCGGUGGAGCACAGGCUCCCAGGCAGCGUGCCUCGACCUCCCUGCCUCUCAGUCUGUUUACAGCCAGCCGAGGCAACAGAGAAAGGGCAGGGGGCCGGCCACACGGCUCGAUGCCUCUGUUCGGCUCCAGCAGCAACACAGCUGUUUGUUCAUUUGAAGCGUGGACACAUGAGGGUUUUCGUUUCUCCGCUGUCCGACGCUAUUCAAAUGUUUAUUUUACCUGCAGAACGGGCAAAGGCAAGCUAAACGCCUGAGGAGAUUCAGGGGGGUUCAGAUAGAGUGUUUGUGUUUUUGAUCAGGUAUUCUGAAAGAGUGUAGCAGCAUUAGCCGGUGAACAUCAAUCAAUGUCAGGAUCAGGCCUGUAAAAACAUCCUCUUAACAUUUGAAUUAGUACCAUUCAAAGUCUGCAGCCAUCUGAAGAUGUGUGACAUUAUACAUGGAUGUGUGCACCUCUCUUCUCACACCUUAGCUCCCCUCGCUGCCCCAACUCCUUGACGUCCCCCUCCCUAUCAUUAUGAGGCCACCCCCCUGGUGCGCCACCCAUCCCCUGAUCACCAAUUAGAAAGGCUUGUCCCCUUUCCCCCUGCGCGGAUGCAGAGGUGGAGGAGUGGAGAGGCAGCAAAGGCAGCAAAGGUAGCAAGGCGCGAUUAGGGCAGUGUGAGGUGGAGGUCCCAUGAAGGACAAGGCUCCCUGGGUGGCUGAGCGAUGAGCAGGGGAGCGUGAAGGGCUGAGGCAGGUCUUUCCCACAGACCAUCAGUCCUUUAGUGAGUCAGUCAGUGUUGUAAUGCUUGAGCACAAAGUGUAAUCAGACAGGCUCUAACACAACAAUUUUAGUCUCUUUUUUGUGCAGCUUUUCUUGGAUAAUUUGACGUAUCCAUCCAUCCAUUUUCGACGUAUUUAUUUAUUUAUUUUUUAUGCACAUCUUCUCCUGCCUGUGUGGUAUUUUUUAAUUUCCUCAUCUGUCUCCUUGUUAGGGCGGCUGCUGUUACAUUAUUCUGAUCAAGAUGAGACAUUGUAUUCUGUGUGUGAUCGUGGCCUUCCCCAGUGUUUCUCCUUGUUGUCUCACUUCAUUCCGUCUCUGUCUUAUUGUAUCUGAUAAGAGACCCCGUUGUUGCAGUGUGGUAAUGAAGCCCUGCGUGUUAGAAGAGCAGCACCGCCGGGCAUGCAGGCCCUCGCACACCUCGGAGAGGCAGAGAGGCGCGUGCAUAUCGAUCUUAUAUUGUUUCCUUGAACCCGGCUUGCCUCGGCAUACUUUGUGCUGGCGCUCAGUUCUCUGUAGUCUAAUGUGCUGUCAUGAAUAAAGGCGAGUUACGGUGCUGUGCGAGUGUGAGAGUGUGUUUUAAAAAAUAUUUCUAAACAGAAAAAAGAUCAUUUCAAUCCUAGAACCACUGUUAGACCACUUGUUAAUUUCACUCACUCCGAAUUAUUAAAAAAUUAGUUGUAUUGUAAUAUUUAUCAACAAGGAAGAUGUUUAAAUUUUGAUUUGGACUAAGAAUAUAAUUUGUUAAUGUGUCUGCACAGACGGCAUUAAAGCAGAAGAGUACAUCAUUUCACACCAAACAUAAUUAUGCAGCAAAGUCUGCACCGAGCCCAAUAAAUAAACUAUAGUGCUAAAUAUUUGACAGAAUACUAAUAAUUCUAAUAUGCAUUCAUUAGAGACUACAGGCAUCCUAAUAAAUAAAUGAAUGGGAGGUCCAGCAGCAUCAUGCCAAAGCUUCUCAUCUAUAAAUCUAAUGUUAUUCUGGAUGCAGCCUGUUUACAUGGGGCCUAAUCUUCUCAUUCAUACCGGCUGUGCAUGUGUGUGUGUAUGUGAGUGUGUUUUGCAUGUGAUAUUAAGUGUGAUCUAAAGGGCUAAAGCACCAUCUGGUGGUGAUACAGCACAGUGCUGUGCUCUGAAAUAGGGCUCUCUCUGUGCACUGAUGAACCUUCAUGACCAGGUUAAGACGUUUCUGCAGAUACUAAGGAGACAACUUCAUUUUGAAGCUUUUGAAACUUUUCUGCGUUUUUUCGCAAAACACUUGUUCAAGAGCUUUAUGAGUGAAAUCUGUUUACACGUUUGACCUGGAAAAAAACUUUCAAAGGAGACUUUUAGGUCAGGAAAGAUUAUUUUUAUGUACUGUUUUAUUUUUCAGCUUAUUGUCGUAAAAAUAUCCAGAGAGCAAAAUCCCCAUGCAAAAAAAAAUCUCACAUUUGUUGCAUCACCGGUGCUGAAGCUUGUUUAUUUGCAAAAUAGCAUUAAGGCUUGUCCAGCGUUUUUGACUCACAAUUCUUUGUACACAAAAGACUUAUUUGCUGUAAUGCAUGUAGAAAGGGCCUCACUGUUCUGUCCUCUCUAAUUGGUGCUGUCAGGCAUCCCUUCGCUGGCGUGUUUCACAGUCUGAUCUGAUAACCCAGUCCACAUGAAGAGAGGAGUGAACGACAGCCUGAGCCAAGUUAAAAAAAAAAGAAAGGAAGAGGAAGAAGAAGAGAGGAGAUGCAGGUGGUUAAGGAUGAUCGACUGCCAAGUAGACGACAGCCUGCUCUCUCUUUUAUAUAUAAAUAGUUGUCUUUCACUCGGUAUCUGUGCAAACAAUUGCUGAUCAGAGGUGUGUAAGCAGGUAGAGGGGGAGGGCCUCUAAUGCAACAUGACAAAAGUGCUACUUUGAUAUCGCUCGUAUGAUUACCCUCGUUAGGAGCUAAGUGAUAAGAUAGAAUGGGAAAACAGACAUGAAGGCCUUUUAAGUGCAGGGAGGGGCAUGAUGUAGAAGUGAAUGCAGAGAAAACACUUGAUUUCUUUUACUCUGUCUUUCCCACUAACUCACCAGUCCAAAUUUCUUUGACAAUUUCAACCUUUUUUUAUAAACAUUUCUCAUGUUUCUUUUCUUUAAUUUGGCAUGCAUUUGUGGGUGUGUGUGUGUGUGUUCAGGAAAAUGUGUGACCAUGUGUGUGUGCGUGACAGUAAUACCUGUGUUACAGUCAAAAGUAAGUAACUUCAGAAGUCGAGUGUAUCAUGUUGCGGGGAUCUUCUCUGUGGUGACAACAGUGAUUAAUAAUGGAAAGCAGUUGUUGGCAUCUCCAGCUGAAAUUUUCAUGAAACUUCGCUAACGUGAUUAAAGUGUACGUCUUCCUAGAGUCACUCCGAGUCUUUUAACUCCAAUCUCUGGGGAGGGGCAACAAAUCAUGGUUGAGACAACAUGUCAAAUCGCACAGAAUCUUCUGCACGUCAGAAACAAACUCCUUUUCUUUUUUUCUGUUUGUCCUUGCUGAUAUUUGAACUCCUCAGUUCUUACAUUGAAAAAGUUUGAUUAUUUGCAGCAUUUUACAGUUUUUUUUCUCACAUAAUUUCCUUUUAAGUUAAUUGUAAUUUUUCUUAUAAUUUCAGAAAGCGGGCCUUAGGAAUAUGAUUAAUGUUACUGUUAAACCCUUUAUUGCCAGGUACACUGGGGUCAAGACAAAAGAAAUGUAUUUUAUCACAUUCUAGACCAAGUUUUUCCAACAAUGUUAGGCAUGAGUCAAAAAUCAGAGACAAACAGGUGUCCCAUUUGUAAAUUUGAGCAAAUAAGUGCUCAUUUGUCUUUUUUUAAAUGCCUUGAAAAACCAUGCAGAUCAGUUUUUCUUCACAUGUUAAAGUCUACAUACCCAAAUGUAAGUGUUUCAGUCUUACACCAUGCUGGAAAAUCACCAAAUAAUUUUCUUCCUGAGCCCAGAUAAAUAAAGUUGACUGCCAGCGUGCCAAGUGUCUCUUCCUGUGAAAAAGUGAUCUAUAUUUCAGAGGAAUUUAAUGACAUUUCUAUUUUCUCCUCUCAGAGAGACUUCAGGAUUCAUCUUUAUAUUUUUCUGUAGCGAAUGGAUAAAUGCAUUUGCAGCUUCUGCUCAGCUAAGUUUAUUUAUAUCUUAGGAUGCAUUUAGAAGCCCGGGCUGCUGUCACGGGGAGAUGGCUCUGCUCACUUUGGAUUGUGAGGUGAAAAUGUAUGAAAAAAGGCUUGAGAUGGAGAUUCAGCGCAAAGUAGCCGGGAGUGUUGUGGCAGCAAAAAUAUCAGCUCGCUUAAAUGCUUUCUCAAACAUUUCUUGAAGAGGCACCAAGAUUAUCCGUUAUCUUUCUUUUUUCCCCUCUCCGUCUUCUCUCUUUUAUUUUUUGUCCCCCAAAUUUCUCCUUUUGUGUCUCUCCUUCAUCCCUAAAUUUUCCACACACUUCUACAGAACUCCUCAGCAGAUUUCUCCCCUCUGUGCUCUCUGAAACAGCAACACAGAUUAAAACAGUAUCAGUAUGUUAAUGAUGGGAGCUAAACUUCUUAGUUUUAUCAUUCAUUCCUCAUGUUUGUUCUCACUUGUUUUCACACUUAAGGACAGUAUUAAUUGUAAUUCUGUUACUAGAGAUCUUUCUUUGAAAGGACUGAUUUAAUGCAAACAAAAAAAAAUGUCAGUCUUUUUUUCCCCUCAUUGUUAACAAUCCUCUGAAAUUACCAUAACUGGAAAUUGCAUCAUUCACAUCAGUGUAUGUUAUCAGUACAUCCAAGGCCUGAUUCAGUGUAUCCUAUUCCUUAACUUAUUUGGACCCACUUCUAAUGAGCAUGAAUUUGCAAAUGGAAAUCGUCCUCGGCAAAUGUAACUCUUAGUGUUGUUUAAAUUAUGUUUGAACGAUCAGUUUUUAUUUUCCAAAGUAAAAACCUGUGGAAAUGGGAGUUAACAGCAAAACACGUUUCUGAGAUGAGGAUUAGAGAAGACACUUUAAGGAAGUCAAAUACUUGUCAUAUCCCUGAAGUUCUCAAGUACUGAUGUUUAGUCAAGGCCCUUGUUAAGACCAGAAUAGCGUCCAGUUUCCAGUUAUAGGCAGGGGCAAAUUCUCAGUUCCAUCAUGGAGAUCAACUUAAGUUCAAGUAUAAAAAUAAGUCCAAAAUCAGUGGAAAAGGUGUUGCACAAGGAAAAAAAAGAACGCUUUUCAGCUGAGAGCAUCUCAGAAGAACUGAUGGUUGUAAAUAAAAUUAAAAAGUUGAACGCUGGUGUUUGGAUGCAUCUUUAACGUAUGGAGGGAUACGCCAUAUAAGACAGUGCACUUCAGUUCAUUUCAUAAGCUUAUAGACACAGUUAUACAGAGCAACACUAAACUCUGUACUCAAAUGUCCUGUUUUUGUCUCACGACCACAUCUCUGUCCUUAUUCAGUUCUCUGUUUGUUUGUCUUUUUGUCAUAUUCUGUCUCUAAAACCAUUUAACUGUAAUAUGUUCAUUCGUAAUUAUUUUUAUACUGAGCGCCCUCAUACCUUGGUUACAGCAAGUUAAUAUGCCGCUAAAAAGAUUGAUGUGUUGUGAAAGAAUAUGUAUUGAUAAUAGAAAGGAUAGAAACAAUAUCAGGAUCUGAUAGAAAGGCCUGCUUUAUUUAUUGACCCUCUGCAGUAAAAGAAAAUAAAAACCUGAGUUUAUAUUUGAGGAUUUAUGGGCCUGAAAUAAACACAGGGAGUUUUGAGUAUAUAUUGAUAUGUAUGAACAGCAGCAACCUCAGUCCUCAUCUACAAGUCAUAAGUAAAUAGCAGUGAAGUAAAUUUCAGCUCAGUUUAAACCUCUUUUCCUCUUCCUGAUGGUUUAACAACAUCUACACAGGCCAACAUACCCGGCCUAACAACACCACCUUUACACUUCCUCCUGGAUUAUAAUGUUAUUCAAACUAUAUGCUGUAAUUUGAACAGAGCAGAAGGGCUUGUGCUGACUCAAAUUUCCCUCCUCAUUUGACUCUCUCUACUUCCAAUCCUCUUUAUUUGGGCUUCCAAAGAGCGAGCAGCAUAAAUUGAAUAAAAAGAUGUGUGUAAAUGAAUAUGAAAAGCAAUGUUCUCUUCAGUAGAGCAAUGAUCACUGUUUUCACAUUCCAUCUCAUUUUUGUGUUUUCUCUCCUACCUUUUCACACUCUUCCCCUAAGGCAAUAAAACAGUACUUUUACAUAUAUUACCUUUUGAUUAAUGGAGCUGUAUUCAUUAUUCUGCCCUAUUGCUAAUUAGAAAACGCACCCUGCUAAUGAUAUACAGUUGGAAUAAUACUUGCCCACGAGGCACGCUAUCACAUCAGGUUUCAUGCUCGCUGCUACGAGCCUUUAUCCACAGAUGCCUCCUUCAACCCCGCGCGGCACGUCCAUUAGCAAAAGAGUCACGGCUAAGACUGGGUGUCAUUGUUUUUUUUUCUGGCAUAAUGAGGCCUGUUUUCUCGGGGGAGUUGUCGCUGAGGGUUGAUGAGGUGUGCAAGCAUUGAGUCAGUCUUAAUCAGGAGAUUUGUGAGGGCACAAGAAUGUGUAUGUGUGUGUGUGUGGUCCUGAUUUAUUUUGUAUUGCACAGGUAGAUAUCUUAAUUUUGUGAAAUUUUGUAACAUUAUUUUAUUUCGUAGUGCGGUGCAGACAGAUACAGUGAAAGGGUUAACGUGGUAUGGUAGCAGCAGUAGCCCUGAAAAUGCUCCUAUGUGACCGUCCUGUCAUGGUCCAAACAUCCAAUGGUAGUGACAACCAUCAAUAUCACACCAGCCGACUUGUCUGUACUAAUGCAGGUUUAUUCCCCUGGUCAGGCCCCAACUGUGUUAAUGGCUGGAGGGGUGUGAUGGAGGCGGAGGGGGAGGGGAAGGGUCGUGACAUAUUGGUGACAAGGUAACACCAACUUUUGGGCUGACAUCUGUCAUUUGUCCUCGUAAGACAAACAGCCUCCUGAUACUUUGUAUCUUGGCUGAUGAAAAGGCUAGUCUAUCCAUUUUACACAUGAUCUCAAACAUUUUUUUCUACAUUUUCAUUUUGGCUAGACUCCAAUUUAUUUUUUAUUUUAAAUUUAGAUUUAUUCAAAUACCUUAUUGAAAUUUCUCAACCAGAGAUUAGUAAGAAAAAUGCACUCUGCUCUUAAAAGCUGUGCCUCAAAAUGUUAUCCUAAAUACUCUAGUCUUUUACUGGCAAACAUGUUGUAUCUAAAGGCAGCAAAAUCAUAUUAUCCAACUUUAUCUUAACUGCAAAAAUAUAUUCCAGGGUUCUUGAAAUUUGAGUCAUACCAGUUUCAGAUGUAGUCUGUUUUGGAGAAAAAGAUUGAUAACAGGCCUGUCACAUUACCAGAUUUUUGCCCUCUGAUUAUCAUAAGCAUAAAAUAAAAUGAUAAUGACAAUAUAAUUACAAAAUUCAUGGAAAACGUGAUAGGUAUACAAUGCAGUCAGUCAAAUCAAGAAAAGUUAAGGCAAGGAUGGAGCAAUAUGUUACUCUAUAUACGUAAUUAACUUACAUAUUACCAUUUAUUUGCAGCAAUGUUCACAUCUAUGGUUUGUCUCAUCACCAGCCCUGCAACUGAAACGUUUUUGGAGAAGAUGUUGUCUCAUAAAAUGAUUGUUUGUCGUGCUUUUAUUUUCAAUUUUUUUCCUGUCUUGCAUUUAGUUUGCUACAGCUGGCUCACCAGCAGCUCCUGCUUCUUCUUAGUCCGUCUUCAGUUUUACAGAGUGGCAACUGGCUUAAAGGGGGGGUAACAUACUUUUCCACAUUUACAACAAAAACUGCAAAGUUACAAUGUUUGGUGUCCAAACUACAUGUAUGCAAAUUUUCAAAUCACAAGGUAAACCUAAUUCGUCAAAAUAUUAGAAAAUACAUAUAAACUGCACAAAUCUCAGACAAACACUCGACAAUGCAAGACUGUAGUUUAUGUUCGAGAUUUACUAAGAAUUGUAGACUCUCCUUACUGGUUCAAUCUGUGCUUACAGCGGGAAACAGCGAGCUCUGACACCAGCUGGCUUCCGGAAAGCCUUCGGAGAGGUAGCCAAUCAGAAGAAAGUGGGCUUGUGGAGGGGGGGCCUUAAAGAGACAGCAGCUACUGAAGCGUUUCAGAAGAAGGCUGAAAUAAUGAUAUUUUAAUACACCACUGUGAGAAAUUUGAGGCUUUUUUGAUAUGAAAAUCACGUAAAGCUGUUAAAGAGGUAUCAGAAAAGAAAUCUAGAGUCUUUAAAAAAUGCAUAAUACCCUCCCUUUCCCCCCUUUAAACAAAAACGACUAUAAACUCACAGGAUUACUGUGUACUUAUUUUUUUAUCACAGUAUCAAUAUUUCACUAUUUUUUUAAAUACAGUUAUUGUGAACUGUCUUUGACAUCUUUUUUCAUCACCUGGAGUUGCAACUCCUGUUGAAAUAUUGGACUUAUUUUUUUUUCAACCUUUAAAAAUAGGUAAAAACCCCUUCAGAUUGAGAUCUCUUUUAGAAGGGUGACCUGGCCAAGAGGUCAGCAACACACUAACGACUUACGCCUAUGAUACAAUUUUUGGUCCUUGGGUUUGGACCCCACCACCAAUUACCUAAGACUUGUACCACCCAGUUUUGCUAUAGUUUUGCUAACUUCAUGCCACUAUUUUUAAGAGCAUGAAUGUAAUCUAUUGAGAGAGAAUAAAUUUGUUGUCAAAAUUAAGUACAGAUCACUUUGGACCAUAAUUCCAAUCUCCAAAGAUCAUAUUCAGCAGAUAUUAUAAUAUAGAGUGUGGCAAAACACCUCUCUGUUGUGCUUGAAGGUACAUAUAUUUUCCUCUAGCUUGACAAAAUUGAAAAUUAAACCCAUCUUUUGUGUCUCUGUUUUAACAUUACAGCACUUUCUCCAGGCUGUGUGUCAAACUGAGACUCAUGCACAUGCGCACACAAAAUUGCAGUGCCAGAAAUUACGCCUCUGGUCAGAGCAAAAUAGAGAGCGUGUCUGAGAGAGAGUUUUCUUUGGUUUCAUUUGACCCUGCAAUAAGGGAAGUGAAAAGGCUGUAGUAGCUACAGGAGGUAGAUUAGAGGAGGUCUGCUCUCUGCAGUCUACAGAGAGAAAGUGUCAAAGGUCAUAAAGAAAACCUAGGAAAUGUGCCAAGGAGCCGUUAACACUUCUUUCCUACUUUUGUGGCUCAGAGGUCAGCAUUUUCUAAAAUUACCCCUUCUUAUUUUCUCUUUGCUGCUCUCUGCAAGCACCAUUACAGGCCAGCGCACAGCCAUUAGAGAUCAACAGCCCAUACAGUUGUAAUAGCACCCUCACAUAGCUCUAGGGUCUGCUAACCUAUAGCCUCUGUGCUCUAUGAGCCUGCUGCUGUAGUUCUCACUGAGGUCAAGUAGGUUAGCACUGAGGCUGUGCUGCAGGAGUACAGGCAGUGCAACAAGCAUGUUUACAAUCUGUCCAAGCUCUGGUUAAAUAAUAAUGAUAAUGUGAUGCUUUAUUGAUUCCUGAGGGAGAAUUGUUUAUCCAAAGGGAGUUCACAGUGUGCCUAUUACACUGAUUUCAUUGUCUGCCCUAGGGCACAUAUAGUUUUUAUGCUACAGCUGGAUCUACAGUAAUAACAUCUGUAAACAUCUCUCUUUUGUCUUUUAACUCUGUUGAUUCAAUUGAUUUAACAAAGGAGAUAUUGGUUGAAAAUGGAGCAGCUAAGGCAAAACGGAGACAAAGGUUAGGAGGAUUUGAAAGAGUUGUAAUACUGCAUUGUACUGGAUCCUGUAACUUUCUGAUUUUAGUAACUACAAACACUCUCAAUCUUCUAAAACCUGUUAUAGGGCCCUCCAAAUCCUGUAUGAGGUUGAAAUAGAACAUUAGAAAAGAGUGAUUGUUUGGCUAAUGUAAAUUCAGAAUAUCAGCUCUGUGUGUGUGUAGACCUGUUUCUACAUUAUGAAUCAGAUAAACUUGUGAUAAGAGAUUUAACAACUUUCAGAACUUUGUCAUUUUAAUAUUUAGGUGCUCCCUCUUGUAUUUAGACCUGUUCUGAUUGUUUGGUUAGACGUUCAGCUAUGCUCAGCAUGGGGAAAAAUCUAUCCGGAUUGACACAGAAUUGCAUUGUCAACUAAAAACAUAGCAUGCAGUCGUAGAGGAAGACUUGCCACUACACUAGGCAAGAGGAGAUAUUUCCUUCUUUGUCCCUCUGGACCCUCGAAUCUCACUUUUCCAUUUUGAUCGCAUCACAUACUCAGUACUUACUGAGUCCUCCAGAGAUGGUGACUUGUCUGUCAGAGUGACAUGAAGGCAAUGAAGUCAAAACAUGAAAUCACAGGAGGUGACAACACUGCGAGGACAGAUACAGAAAGUAGCUUGAAUCUUAUCGUCACAUUUGCUGUAUGCAUCACACAAUUUCCUCAGGCUGCCCAGCUCUGUCUUUUCCUCUUUUUUACAAAAAAGAAAAUUAAACUAGGUCUUACAUGUGCAACUCAUCAACUAUCCUAAGGCAACAUAGAGUAAAAUAGUAGUAACCCAUUUUGUAGGGUUUUUGGGGAGGUUUUGGCUGCUUAUGAAACAGGCGUGAAUUAAUAGUGAUGUCUUUUUAUGACCAACAAAAGCAAAGCCAAAAAGGACCAUUAACUACAAAAAUGAAAACCUCUAUGUUUUUGAUUUUAAUGCCUCUAACUAAUAUUAGGUAUAAGAUGAGAUGACUUACAUUAUGCUGAAGAAUCUUUUGUACUUUUCCCUCAAAAAUAUUCCAAAUGAGUGACACAUUUUACUUUUAGAGGAAAGCAAAAAUCAGAAAAUUUGUAAGGGGUAUUACCAUUAUCAUUCCCACAAACUAAAAGUUCCUCACAUAGUCUCCAACAUAUUGACCCAAAUAUUAAACAUUUUUAUCUUCUUUCUUGAUAUAUCUGGAAAAAAGGGCUUAUCUUUCAGUCAGAGUUUUGGAUUUGAUUGCUAACAUAUAGUUUGUUUACAACAGUGGACUAUGCCACUCGUUUGUAAAAUGAGUUCAUGAGAACAUUAAUCAGUACUUGUCAAUGUUCAUUGACAGUAGAAAUGAAAAACUUUCUGUCAAAUGUAGAAAAUGUUUGACCAGAACUGAAGUAUUUAUCAUUAUACACAGGAUCAAAUAGUUACGGGCAAGAAAAAAAACCUAAACCGGCAGCAGAGCCACUUAUUCAAUUAUUUUAUCAGCCAUCUGUAAAAGACCGAUACAGACAAUCAGCGAGAUAUCGGCCCUAAUUGUGCCCCACUUUACUGAAGCCAGCUGUUACAACUACAGCACCAGGGGAAUAAAAGAUACAGAGACAAGUUGAUUUCUGAAACACAGUGGCUUGAAAGUUGGCUAAGCUAUUUAACAACUGAGACAGACUUCUGUUGCAAUUUUAGGAUAACGGUCAGAUAAACUUUCAAGGAUCCAAGAAAUACAUCACAGGUUGUCAAGUCUGAAGAUGGCAAGCCACAAAAGAUUGUCUUCAAAUGUUUGAGUUUGUUAUUAAAAAUUACCAGACCAUCUAUCCACUCAGAAGACUACUUCGGCAUCCAAACCAUAGUUGCUUCAUUUACAAAUGUGACAAGGUUCAGUUUCACUGAAGUGUGACAAUUUACUUAAAAAACAAUAAAUGAAAAAAUUGCCAUUAAAGAAGUGUUAAAAUAACAGAUUUUUUUAAAGUUCAAAAUCUAUGUUUGACCAUUAUUUACUUUUAAAUUGGUUUAGGUGUAAAGUAAGGUUUGAUCUUCAAAAAGUCUUCACUAAAAUGUAAUCAUUAAUUGUCUCAUAUUGAAGUCAUUAUAGUGUUUAUUGUUCAAUAUCUUUCACUGUCCACACUAGUUUGAUUUAUAAACAUUGCAUUUUUUUUUCAAUUUAUUUUUGAACAGCAAGAAAUUUUAUACUUCCUUUUCAAGCCGUGACAUGUCCAAUAUUUCCUGAAGAAAAAAGAAAGUAAUGCCAAAUACUUUCAAUUUGACUGUUUAAGCAAGUAGGACUGGUUAAAUUGUCUGUUAAUUCAUUUUACGGUUAAAAAAAAAGAUAUUGCACUGGAAAAAUAAAAUGCUCCUUCAAAUAGGGGCAUUAAUGUUAAAUAGAUAUCCAUUCUUAGCCCGAUGCUAAAAUGUCAAUACUAAUAUUACAGUAAUCGACAUCACUCAUCAUGACAAAGUUGGUAUUAGUGUCUACUACUGAGAGAAAAAACUAGUUCACAGUCAACAGAGAACAUUACAAAGAUUUUUAAGUUAAGCCUGCCUUUUAAUCGUAGAACAGAUUGUACAGUUGAAAACUGCUGAGUAAAGCAAACAAAGGUUGUAGAAGAAGUGAUUUCUAAACUUAUUUUGCCUCAAUGAAUUUUUUUUAAACUUUGUAUCAAAUAUGUUUUGGAAAAUUUGAAACUCCACUAAAAUACAUGUUUGUGAAAGUGAGUAAUGUGCUAUUUUGGUUUGGUAUAUUCUUUGCAAAAUUUUUGAAGUUUGACAUUCUCCAGUGUUGCUCUUGCUCUUAAGUACAAAGCCUCUCCAUCCUGUAGUUGGUGUUCUUUUCAUUAACAUUUUAUUUAGGUGAUAAUUAAACUUCAUUGUUAACUUUCAACUUUGUUCUCUCAGGUUUGCUUUGUUCUGUCUUCUGCUCCAUACCUCUCUGCUUCUAAAAGCAUCAUGCGAAACCUGCCUCAUCCUCAUCCCCAACGCUUGUUCUUCAUCCCUACAAUGAGUCUUUACACCAGGGCGACCUCAGGCCUUCAAAGAGUUAAGUUGAGGGUGUAGGAGAAAGAGUGCUGGCAUGGAUCCCCAGGACAGCAGGCCAAUUAUAAAAUUAUGAGUGAAGUGUUCCUCUAGAUCCCCCAAAAGAACCCCAUUACCCAGAAGCCUUGGCUUUGAACACCUCUCCCACAUUAAAGAUGAGUCAACCUCCAGUGCUGGCUCCUGUCAGGCAAAGGUUCUGCAACGGAAGCCUUUUCUUCUUCCUCUUCUUCCACAUCUCCCUGAGUGUUUGAGAGCAGCACCACGGAGCCACAGUUUCCUCACAGUGUCGGCUCUCAGGCAGCUCUGGCACUGUGACAGCCAGAAGAAACAGUGAGUGCCACAAUUGACAUAUUCCCCAUCCUUUUGGCAUGUCAUCUCCCUUUUUCUGGACACCUGAUUGAUUCUGACAGCCUAUAUUGGGUAUUUCAUAUGAAAGAGAAUUUGGCGAUUAAAUCUUAAUGAGUUGGAAUUUCUCUCAGUGCUUUUAUUACAGGCCGCCAGUUUUGAACAUUUUUCAAAGCAACACACCCAAAUUCCACUGUUUGCAAUGAAUUAAUAAUACAGUCUUGUCACUGAAGUAUCAUGCAUUCUUUAAUCAGGCUUUUGGGGUCUGAAGCAGAAGCUUCUUGAAAGGUAUUUCUUUAUGAUCAGAACAAUUACAAACUUAGCAGCAAUCACAAAGGGGAUACUCAUAAAGUCAUGCAUACACAUACAGAAAAUGUGUGCGAGUGUGUCAGGCACAAAACAAAACCCUCCGGGCAAACUUUCUUGCCGCCUGUAUCUGAAUUAUACGUCUUGACUGGCUCACAUCAGUUAUGACUUGGGACUUGAGAAGAGGCUGAGGCCAAAGGCUGUGUGAACUGCGAGCACAAAAGAACAGAAGCAGCCGACACGUCUCUUCUUCUGUGUUCUUAAGAUCUCGCCAAGUUGUGGAAUAAACAUCCCCAAGUUUAGCUCUCGACCCCAGACCUCAUACCCCUCCUUUCUACAGCCAGUCUACAUCUCACGUCAGAGUCUUUGGGGAGAACUUCAUAUUUUGUUUCAAGGCCUUUGCAAAGGCACAAAGUGGUUGACCAUGCAUUGGCUGUUAAUGACGCUUUCUCUGCUUUUGGCAGUAAAUGUAAUAUAAAUAUGUUUUACUUUAUUAUCACCUACUUAUCAUCUACCUGUCUUUGAUACUUGAUUCUGAUUGGUCAAAACAGUAGCAGUUAAUUCUGAAUAGGAUCGGUGAAGCCUCGUCAUGACACACUUCAUGUCAAACCCAGCACAUUACAAAUGUUAUGAUUUCACCUCAGCCCGUUGACAAUGUGCUAGUGUGAACAAUAUGGAGGAUUGUUUAAUAUUACUCUCUGUUACUUUGGAGAUUACACUCUAGAUUGGUUAUUGGCCGGCCUAUACCAGCACAGAAGAGAUAAUAGGACUGUACGGAAACUAACAAGAGAGGUUAAAAAAACAAGCUGAGGGACAAAGUCACAAAACAGACAUGAAGCAGUCAAAAACCACAAGGUGGACAAGAUCCCUCCACUGUGUUGGGGUCUUGUCUCACCUUGUUGGUAUUCUGUUUCAUGUAGCCACCCACUCACUAUCCAUCAGCCCUUAAUUUGAUAAUCAUUUCUAAUAUGUUAUUGUUGGUUAAAGCUGUUUGCUGCUGAGUGGAGAUAACCAUAGAUGACACUAAAUUUUGGCUUUAAGAACAGUAAAGAUUUAAGGCUGCUUGAUAAUUUUAGCAUCUCAGCACGUCGAUUCCUGUCACCUCACCACGUGAGAAUUAUUUAUCUGCUGUUGAACUUGAUCCUACAAAACAUGCAGACUGACAGUUUGAGGGUCUGUUUCCAUACUGAAUGAAGUGUCAGAGAUGGUGCGCUUUUAAUUGCUUCAGUUAUUUAGACGUGUCGCAUUUUUCUCCUUGUAAGCUGACUAAAACUGAUAGUAAGCUUCUAAGGGUAAAAGGUCAACAUCAGUGUUGUGGGAUUGACAAUAUAAAAAGCAGCAGAGCCUCCGUAAACAAAUUCGUGACUUAAAAAUCAGCGGGCCAUUGGCAGACUAGUGUUACAUCUUUAUCCAGAGAUCUGUGUAACUGUAUUUUCAACACUGAUUUGUCAGGAAUUUGUGAUGGUAAAUCUUUACACCUCCGAAAAUCAACCCUCCAUAUCUGCUCACAUUGAAGACAAAAUGCAAAUUUGUGUAGGUAGUUUGUUCGGUCUCCUUUGUGUCGGUGUUGACAUGUUUAUCAUGUCUGCGUUUGGCUCCUACCUGGGAACCUCUGUGGCUUCUGUACCACUGCCAGCAAGAGAGACGAGGAGAUGGGACUGUUUUUAUUUCAUCAUCUCAAAUCAUGAUACUGCCUGCAUCACCCACAAUCCUCUCUUUAUCACUUUAACACCCUCUCUGCAUCUCUGUGUGUGUAUGUGCACUGACAUAGUAAUAAAGGGAGAAAAAGAACCAGGUAAAGCAGAAAAAAGAGAGUACUCAGCAAAAUGUCUGAAACGUACUCGCCAUCAAAUGCAGGAAUCACAGCAGGGGCUGUUAUUCUCUGAAAACUGUGUGUUGAAAUUCUCUGGCUGUCUCAUAUGUGUGUAAGUGAGCGCUGACUUUCCCUCGCAGGGCAGAGCAAAAGACUAUGACACCGGGGUUUGGUUUUUGUCUAAAAAGAGAAAGGCCUUUAUGGAAGGAUUGACUUUUCUGUCUCUUUGGAGUUUGCUUUUAAGAGUCUCUUGUGUUCUUCUUUACAAAGUACAAGCUCUGCUGAAAACAGCCCUGUGCGCUCCUUAUGUUCCCGAGCAGAAGAUAGAACAGUUGGUGCCCCUCAAUAAGUUAUACCCUCACCAUCAUCAUCAUCAUCAUCAUCACCCCAACUCAGGAACACGCAACAGUCUGGAAGAAUUUCAGGUAAAAAGGCCUGGCCUAAUUAGUUCCCAUCAAAAAUGUAAUUCUUUUUCUCUGAAUUAUGCCGCAAGGGUUGAGUAGCCAAAAGCGAAGAUACCUGGUGGAUGAAAAAAAAAAAUAAUGAAUGAAAAAAGAUAUUCUAACCUCGAGCCAUAAGUACAUUUAUAUGCUUGACAUGACUCGGCCAUCAAUGUUGGGUCGAAUUCUAAUUUAAUUUCUGAGAUGUAUGUGUAAUUUUGCCAUUAAUAUGAAUGUUAGCACCCUAAAUAUUUUACACUUCUCAUGGAUAUUGUGAGUGUCUCAUAUAUCCUUCAAGAGUGUAUUAAUUAAUAAACUCCUUUCUGAUACUUUUUUUGUGCAGGAAACUUGUAAUAGGAGCAUGCAGGUAGGAUGAUGUAGAGAGAGCAGCCAGAACAGAGUUGUCUGGUGCCUCAUUAACAUCCCCAGUUCAUUAGGAGGAGGCUUUUUUCUUGUCAUCUUUUUACAACGUGCCAAUGUUGUGUGGCCUUUAAGCUAAUUAAUAAUUAAUUAAUUAACCAAAUUAAUUCCUAGGUUAGAGAUGUUGUUCAGUAGUGAGGCCAGUCGGUUUGGAUUUGGGCCCCGAUGGGUGAGGCCCUUUACAAGCUGAUGUUGUUCAUGUUUCUGACAGUGCCAGCCCCCCGUCUAAAAGCCCUAGCAAGUGCCAUUUGUCUCCGGGUUAACAGAAAGACGAGAUAUAGGGCGGGCUGAAUAAUUUAAGCUCCCACAACACAUGCACUUUUGCUUUUCAAGCAUGAGUUAUAAUUUAAUUAGAAACUUCUGGUGCGUUGCUGGCUAUUUAAAUAUUAAAAUCUUCCGCUGAUCACAUUGGAUUAGCCAUCCCUGUGAAAUUCCCUGAGAUGUCAGUUGUUGUCUUUCUAUCUCCCCUCUCUCUCUCUUCCCCCCACUUCUACUCUCACUCUCGCCGCUUUCUCGCAUUUCCGUCUGUGUUUUCUGAACUCGGCGCGCUCACAGAUUGUUUGUCGACUCCUCCAUUAGAGACAAUGGAGGGAGGCGUUGUGGACCUUUGGGAGCCUUAAUGGGCAUCAGUGUGCGUAAGCGUGUGAAUGGCUGACCUGAUCUGAAUGAAAAGAAAGAGGCUGUGCUCAUUAUCAGCUCUGGAUUGCAGGAUGAUUACAUUAGGAUGCUCCCCUGACGGUGGUAAAACAAGGGGUGGUAGUGGAGAUGGGUAUUAGAGGUUGACACUGGAUUCCUAUUGCCAUGUUGGGGCCUGUUGUCCAGCUGUUUUUGUCCCCUGAAUUUAAACAGUGCAACCUGUUGACUUGAGAUGAUGUGUCUUUUGCCUCUGUGUCUUAGUGGAGCCAUUUAUCUGCAAAGGCAUGGCAAGUUUAUUUACAUGGCACAUCAUUGCAAACAAGGCAUACAGAUUUUAUAAAACAUUAGGGCCUGUGCCUAGCGACUUUUCUUUUUUUUUUCUUCUUUUUUGCACCAGCAGCACCCAUGUCUCAUGUAAAACUAAUGCAGUUCAGCAUUGUCACUGCUUAAUGUCUUGAGAAAAAUGCUCUCAGUGCCAGUUUUGUUGUUGUUCUUACACUGUCUAGGUUAAAAAUAGUUAAGUGCUUGGAGCUGGGUGUCCUUAGCAGUGUCACCUCUUCUUAAGGGAACAGUUUCUAGGAACAAGUUAUUUCCUUUUUAUUUUUUCAUUUUCUCCACAAAAUUUUAUAAAACCCAUGAAAGAGGAUUAGGGCCACAAGAAGAAAAAAAUAAUAAUUACAGGAGAAAACUUAAAAUUUCCAUUUUGAGAUUAAAGUUGAAAUUCACAAAAGUCGAGAUGAAAUGCCGUGUGGCUUAAAUUUGUUGCAGCCAUCAAUGUGCCCAAGCACAUUGGGUCCUCAGCUUCAGUAAUGCCUGCGUCUAGGACGCAGGGCUCGUCUGUGCUCCACGCCUUCAGGAUCAAUCAACUUGAUCAGUUGUCUCAUUUUAUCUUGCGAUACAACAUCGCUUCACUGGUGUGACCAUCAAUAACCCUGCAUCUGCAUCACAAUCUUCUUCGGUACAGUCUUUUCAUUACCUUUAAUCUCAACAUUAUGAAUUUAUUCAUGAAAUUUUGUCUUUAAUUGCGUCGACUUUAAUCUCGAAAUUUCGGCUUUAAUCUUGAAAUUUUGACUUCAAUCUUGUUUCCGUAAUUAUUUUCUUUCUCUUCAUGUGGCCCAAAUCUUCUUUCGUAAUAACUACAUAUGAAGCUUACAGAGAAAUGUAAAACAGCCUUGAUGGUUACUGCUAAGAGAAGCAGACAUACCAUCAGACUACUUUCAUAACACAGCAGGAGAAAGUGCCCUAAAAAGCACUAUGAAACUGUGGUUGUGGGCUCCAGCCCUGAAAAGGCAGUAAGUGUACACAGGCCCUUGUCCAAAACUAAGCUGAUAACACAAAUGACACUAAAACCCGACACCAUUACAUUUCAGCAGGAGAAACUUUACCUAAAAAUAAUCAAAGAAUAAUUGUGUUUAUCACAACUACUGUAUCUUUGGCUUGAGACUGUGUGAAAGAGUUAGGAGUGGCAGGAUUUAUUUUCACAUCAGCAUGUGAAGUUUAAUGGAAAAGGAUAAAAGAUGGACAAAGCUAGAGAAAUGUUCCAAAAAGUAAAACUAAUAGGCUGAAAAAGUAAAAUGGAUUUAUCUGAGUAUUCUUGAACACAACAGUAAAGUAUUAUCCAAUACGCUUGAGUACAUGUAUGUAGCUCCAGUAUGCUAUAAGACAAAAGCACAGCUAAACUAAAGUACAGGGGAAUCAACUUGAUCCCCUUUUGGCUCCACAACUGAUGCUUGUUAAUAGGAUCUGAUCGAUGCAGACACUAUCAGCAUGUAGAGUCUAUGCAAAGCCUCACUAUUCAGUUUAUGUGUGAGUUAUGGGUGACAGGUUGCUCAGUCAUCUCCCCAGUCAACCCUGUGACACACACACUCUAUCACCAGUGGCAAAGAUGUACUAGUGAUUCCUAGCUCUGGGCCAACUAUCUAAUUAUAAACCAGCAUCUACUUUAAUCUUCUGCUUCAGACUGUUAUUGAAGCUACAUGUGAGCUGGAGCCCUGCUUUCCUGCUGCCGAAACAUAAAAACCUUAGCUGCCUUUGAUUCAGGAAAAGCUCUCACGUACCUUACUUUUGCUUCCUCACUGUUUGCCUGUGUGUGUUUAUGUCUCCCUGUGUAUUCCUACCUGUCAUUUUGUGCAUCUGAACAGGUGUAUUUGUCUGCUCACAGUGGGUGAAUACAGUGCUCUGUUUCUCCAAACUCUGGGAGGGGCCCUGGCAGUAGCGCUGCGAUUGUGUGUCAAUCAGGCAGCGCUGCAGACGGCCUCUCAGGCCCCCCAUAGUGUGGGGUCCUGUUCUUCUUCUGUCUCAUGCUGUCAUUCAGAAUCCUUUUCAUCUCUGCCUCUGUUCCUCCCCAAAUCCCUCAAUCAGGACCAUCAGUCAUUCUCUGAGAAACAUUUUGAGCAUAAAUCUCCUUUAUGAACAGCUACUUUGAAAUUGAAAUAUUUACUACAAAUCAAGCAUGUUUUCAUAUAUCAGGUUAAAUAUCCUCCCUACUGCUAACAUCACCUCACCUCCUACAGGUGCUUACACUUUGAGCUCUGUUUUGAGCUCAUGCCUUUUUUUUAUAUUUUUUCACAUCCUGAUUUCACUGUACAAUAAUGAAUCCAGAAUUCCACAGCUAACCCAAGUAAAAUUCUCAGUUCAUAUAAACAAACCAGCCAUUAAGACUGAUGCUCUGGUAACAACAUAACCCACCUGUAAUGUAAUGACAACUACAUAAUGACAAUAGAAAAUUAAGACAAAGUUGAAUUUUCCUUUUGACUCACCUGUUAAUAAGUUAAAUCGUAAUUGCAAGUUUUGGCCUCUUUAGUUGUUGUACAUGUUAGUUUAUCAACAAAUAAGUUAAUAAAAAGUUAAAAGUGUCUGGUGUCUCAUGUACAUGGCCCACCUGUAAUGUACUGAUAUGUAAUUUUUUUCACAAUUACGCUUCACUUCACUGCACUCUUCAUUACUGCACUAUCGCACUACUGUCUUGUACUUGUAAGUUAAAUGUCGACUUUGAUUUGUACAUAAUUUGUGAUUUCUGUAAUUUUUCUGAUUAUUUUAAUUAUUCCUAACUUUUGUCAUUUUUCUUGACUUUUGUAAUAUUUCAUGUUUACUGUUAGUACAUGAUGGGCAAAGUUUACCGAAGUCAAAUUCCUUGUAUGUGUACACAUACUCGGCCAAUAAAGCUGAUUCUGGAAACUUGAAAAACUAUUUGGCAAAUUUGGAAAACCCUACCAUAGACUUUUAUGUCUUCAUGCAAAGAACAAUGCACAGUGAAAAAAAAAAAAAAAAAAAAGCGGUGAUAAAUGUAAACCAGAAUCCUGAAGGGGUAAGACAAGAACAAAAUAUACACGUUUAGCCAACGGAUUUAGCAUGUGUCAGGACUAACAACUCUUCCACAUAUUGAUUUUUUUUAUUAUGUGUUUGAUCUGAUUGUAUCCAACGUUGCUCUUAUUAUUCAGAAUUAAUCACCAUUGUCAAGGGGAUUAACAAUGGUCAUGGCCAAUCAGAAUCAAGUAUUUAAAUAUAAAGUUAAACUAAUUACAGUGAUUUUAAUAGUAUUGAGACACACUAGUGUGCUUGCGCAAUAUACAGUAUAUCUAGCUCUCCUUGCAUAGUGUGUAUACAGUAGUAAACUGUAGCCAAAGCUUGAGAAUUUUUUAUGAAGUAUCAGUCAAAUGUUUAUGUGCUGCACUGAUGAUAACUUUAUGUUUGCUUUUCCAGAACUUCUCUUUUGAUGUAAAAGGUCAGAAAGUUGAAGCUAAUAGUGUUGGAAAUGUCUAGGCACUUGGUUCUCUCAGGAAGCGGCUGCAGUGCAGAUCUGUCACUGAAUCAACUCUGAUUCAAGACAAGCUGUGAGCAACAGAUUUUCUUUAUCUCAUUCAGGUUAGAGUUUUUGGCACAUUCUUAUUUUCUGUUUGACCCUUACAGUGACUUCAGUUUGCCUUUUAAUGCCUCUUGUAAUACCCAAGAGGCCAGUAUGAUACAACUUGUAGGUUACAAAUAAAUUUCUCCUUUUAUAUAAGAGUGGUAAAAGGUUAGAAAAAUAAUUCAGAAGGAAAUAUGCUUGUAUUUGAGAUACAUCUAUUGCAAUAAUUAAAGAGUCCAGCUCUCUCUGUUCAGCCUUUUCUCUCUGCAGACUUCUCCAGAUGUUGUUUGACUUUUAUUUGCUUUAAUUUUUCAUCAGUUUGCACAGCUGUAAGGGUUGAAUUCACCAUACACAUGAAUAAAAAUAUACCCCUGUAAACAUUAUUGUGUUUAGUGAUAUCUCUUGGUUGCCCCUGAGAAAUGCUGGCUAAUCAGAGACAAAGAGAGAUGAAGGAGGACCAUAAAACGCGAUACUCUCCAGAUGCUCACACUGUCUGAUACUGUAGUAUCAUAAAGAUGGGAAGAGGGGGUCAGAGAGAGGUAAAGGUUCAUAUUUUUAAAAGGCUGAUUGCAUGAAUGUCUUGGGAUUUCUCUUUUUUUUUUUCAAUUUUGAAGAAGCACUCAGAGACUAAUUCAGUUCAUCUGGCUCAAAAGUACUCAGCAGCUCUUUGCUCUUAAACUUACUCCUACCUUCCCCAGAUUGUAUCUUUGGACCUUUACACCAUGAAUUCUGUCAUAUCUGUUGAUAAACUAACUUGUACAAAAAAUAAAGAGGCCAAGAAAGGCCAUAGUUGCAAUUACUAUUUAACUUUAAAUGUGAGUUAAAAGAAACAUUCAACUUUGUAUUAACUUUAUAUGAGGUGUUGGACCACUGCAACUGCAUUUCUGGUGUCUUUGAUCACUUUGUGUCCAUAGCAUAGAUAUACACUCACCGGCCACUUUAUUAGGUACACCUGUCCAACUGCUCGUUAACACUUAAUUUCUAAUCAGCCAAUCACAUGGUGGCAACUUAGUGCAUUUAGGCAUGUAGACAUGGUCAAGACAAUCUCCUGCAGUUCAAACCGAGCAUCAGUAUGGGGAAGAGAGGUGAUUUGAGUGACUUUGAACGUGGUAUGGUUGUUGGUGCCAGAAGGGCUGGUCUGAGUAUUUCAGAAACUGCUGAUCUACUGGGAUUUUCACGCACAACCAUCUCUAGGGUUUACAGAGAAUGGUCCGAAAAAGAAAAAAUAUCCAGUGAGCGGCAGUUCUGUGGGCGGAAAUGCCUUGUUGAUGCCAGAGGUCAGAGGAGAAUGGCCAGACUGGUUCGAGCUGAUAGAAAGGCAACAGUGACUCAAAUAACCACCCGUUACUACCAAGGUAGGCAGAAGAGCAUCUCUGAACGCACAGUACGUCGAACUUUGAGGCAGAUGGGCUACAGCAGCAGAAGACCACGCCGGGUGCCACUCCUUUCAGCUAAGAACAGGAAACUGAGGCUACAAUUUGCACAAGCUCAUCAAAAUUGGACAAUAGAAGAUUGGAAAAACGUUGCCUGGUCUGAUGAGUGUCGAUUUCUGCUGCGACAUUCGGAUGGUAGGGUCAGAAUUUGGCGUCAACAACAUGAAAGCAUGGGUCCAUCCUGCCUUCUAUCAACGGUUCAGGCUGGUGGUGGUGGUGUCGUGGUGUGGGGAAUAUUUUCUUGGCCCUCUUUGGGCCCCUUGGUACCAAUUGAGCAUCGUUGCAACGCCACAGCCUACCUGAGUAUUGUUGCUGACCAUGUCCAUCCCUUUAUGACCACAAUGUACCCAACUUCUGAUGGCUACUUUCAGCAGGAUAAUGCGCCAUGUCAUAAAACUGGAAUCAUCUCAGACUGGUUUCUUGAACAUGACAAUGAGUUCACUGUACUCAAAUGGCCUCCACAGUCACCAGAUCUCAAUCCAAUAGAGCAUCUUUGGGAUGUGGUGGAACGGGAGAUUCGCAUCAUGGAUGUGCAGCCGACAAAUCUGCGGCAACUGUGUGAUGCCAUCAUGUCAAUAUGGACCAAGCUCUCUGAGGAAUGCUUCCAGCACCUUGUUGAAUCUAUGCCACGAAGAAUUGAGGCAGUUCUGAAGGCAAAAGGGGGUCCAACCCGUUACUAGCAUGGUGUACCUAAUAAAGUGGCCGGUGAGUGUAAAACACAAUUAACUAAUCUGUCCACUUAAAAUGGUGCUGUGAUCCACCUGUUUCUACCUUGGAGGUACUGUUCGAUACAAAGACAAUAAAGUGUAGUUUGUUCCUACGAAGUUUAUAAGAGUUAAGUGUUAAGCAGCAAGCAUAGACUGUGACUUUAUGAUUUUGUUGAGAGAUAAAAUUACAUUUGAGUAGUUAUUAUCAUUGAUUUUUAAAUCUGACUGUUUUCUGUCGCCCUUGUUAGUCAUGACUAAAGUUUUUAUCUUAUAAUUAUAUCAUUUCAUGGAAUGAGGCCAAUGAAACUGUUUUUUUCAAUGAUUAACUGCCUUUUGUCCUUGAGAUUUUUUUUUCUCUUCUGCCUCUUUUUGUUUGCUUCAAUGAAAAUGUUUUGAGUCAGUGUUGUAUCAUUGUAAUAAGCACAUAGAACAAUAACCCAGCCUUUGACUGUCUUAAGGUAAUAAUAGAGCAUCACAAUCAGUAAAUAACAUUAAAAAAUAAAAAUAAUUGUGACUGCAGCCCUUCUUAGCUACUGCAGCAACCGUAGAAACACUUUCAGUCUUGCGAGUCUGUAUUGUCUUUCCCUCGUAAGUGAGCUCAUCUACUCCCAAAUUUUCAGUCCAGCUCUGUCAAAGAAAAGUCAAAGGCUUUUUCUUGGCCAGAGGACUAUCAUAUGACUCCGACGAUUAAUACAAAGGCGAAUGGUGGACUUUAAUAAUUAACUCUGCGUUACAUUUGAAGAAUGCUCACCAGGCGUGAGAUUUAAAAGAAGCUAAUGUUUCACUAUCAAACCAUUUCACCCAAUCUUCAGAACAGAUGUGUGUGCAGAGGAGGACAUUAGUUUCCACAGCAGGCGCUGAAAAUAUGCCUGCGUUCCCCUCAUCAGCACAGAAGUCAUGGUUUGUCUUGAGGGGCCAAGUGUCUCCUUGUGACUGGCCAUUGGUUUUAAGUGGCUUGUGCAUUUUUCAUGGGACAGUGGUCGCUGGGAAUGUCUUGUCACUCUAUUAAGGCCUAUUCAAAUGGUAGCGGCCAUAAAACGAAGCAGGCACUGAAAUAUUCAUUUGAUAUUGCAACACACCGCAGUGUGUGUGUUAAUUAAGGAAAGAGCUAUAUGCUUGAGAUGGGACAGGGCUCUCAGUGUGCCAGAAUGCUGGAAGAUGAGUUUAAUCAAAGUGACACUUGGGCUUCCCGGCUCCAGGCUGGUGUCAAUAUGUACAUCUUAUUUUAAAGAGUGCUAGUGUGUUCAUAAAACAGAGACUAAACGCUGAACUAACAACACGCAAAAGCACUCUUUGACAUUUCCUUUUUUUUUUACAUCAGUGUAUCAUUCAUGCAUUACUUUCAUGUGUACAUUAGCCGUGUGUUGUUUAGCAUUAUAUUUGACCUCUAAGGCGCAACAUAAAAGCAGGUAGCAGCUGUGAACCGUUGUGGCGGGGUGAAGUCCAUUAAGAAAAAGAGAAGUCUUUUUUUAACAAGCUGUUCUGGCCAUUUGACAGGGAAAAACCUUAUAUUUGGACAAACACUCAGAUGUUAACUAUCUGGCAUGUACUUAAGGGUUAACUGUGUCCUGAAGGCUACACCCUGAAGGGAACAGGUGUUUGCAGCUAUUCACUGGUGGUUCUACUGCUUGUUAUUUACCAUGAUUGGAUCUAUAUUUCUAAAAUUUCAGCUAUGAGGUAGCCAAUUUGAUGAAGACUGCACGCUUACAGCAGCAGGGUGUAUGUUUCCCUCCUCUUAAUAUUUUGGACUUCCUGUGUUGUUUGUACCCAGUGAAAGAAAGUUGAUUAUUUUUCAUUCGAUUCAGGUGAUCUAUUAUAAUUUAUUUUUAAUUUCUUGUCUAAUUCUAGCUGCAAGAUUGUGCAGCCUCACAUUUGAAAUGAUCAAAAUGCAAACCCUCAUAUCAGACACAAAGCUUAAGGAUUACAAGGCUAUUUCUGUUUGUAUAAAACCAACUGAAUAACACAGUGUAAGUGUCAUCCCUCUCCUCUCUCUUCCUUCUUUUGGCUUCUUUAUUACCGCUUCACCGUUCCUCGUCUCUCUGUAGGACAGGCCAGCGAUAAUAUACCCUAUCCUCCAUCUUAGAGCUUAUUAACCUUUUUGUUGGAAUAUCUGGAGCAUAAAGACCUCAUUAAAUAUUUACAUAUGCACUAAGCAGUAUGAAAAAUUAAGAAACCCAAAGUUUUAUUAACCUGUAGUAAUAUAAUGUCUACUCUUGGCCAACAAAAAAAGGGUCUUUUUUGCACAUUAAAGCAUUCUGUAGUGCAUAAUAAUGUAUGAUAAGAAGGCUCCCCUUGCAUUGAUUAACUCUGCUUUAAUAUAACAUUAGGUUUCCCUAAACUAGCUUUAUCAUAGAAUUAUGCUUUUAAUACAAGGUGUGGGGAUGAGGGCAGAGGAGGGAGCUGUUUAGCCUGCAGAAAUAAAACAUUGCGACAAUCCUUAAUUAUCCAUGGUUGUGUGUGUGUGUGUGUGUGUGUGUUGUGACAUACGUGAGGACUUCUGAGAAACUCAUACGCUCACUAUUCAUGAAUAUAUUAGAAGGCGCAGCAUAAAUAUCUGUCCCUGCUAGCCAUGCUGACCUCGUCCCUCCAUAGGUGUAGUUGAUCCACAACACUCAGCCAUUCAAAUGGGACUAAGUGGCUUUCAAUUAUUCAAACAUAUAUUCAAGAAAGGCCGUGUAUUGCUCCCUAUCACCUGCUCCUGACUUUCUACUCCUCUGCCACGCUGCUCAGAGCUGAGACUGAGCUGGCUGAAAUGUUCAGAUUUUACCAUCAGCUGUGUAGACAGAGGAUGAGGCACAAAUAUCUCUGUCACUGCUGUCCUCACAGACCCUUUCGGUCCUCUAAAUGUUUCCUCUGUUCUCUGAUAGGGACUCAAACGGGCAGGUUCCCAGAGAGCCAGCGCUUUGAUUCUGUCAGUGCUGCAUGCAGAGCAGACCAUGCUUCAUAGCUGCACACCUGCAGGCAUUUACACCUGUAUGUCACCAGUGCAGGGCAGAAGAUGAUGUGAUGGUAAGGGUUUUAAAGUGGGAGCAGGAUCCAGGAGGCCUUUUGUAUGGUCAUGUCUUAGACGUAUGGGCCAAUAACCUCUACAUAUAUUUAUGUGACAUUUUAUGGGUUUCAGUUUUUUUAAAAAACAAGAAUUGACAUUAAAAACUUUGCAUUAACGACUCAAACAAACAGGACCAUCUGGGAUUAUACAUAUUAUUUCUAUAUAGUUAUUGUAAUACACUGGUAUUUGACAAAGUGGGUAAUACUGCAAUAAGACUCUUUAACUCAUCCACCCCUGUUAGAGCCACAGUCACUUACAUGGACUAGCCUGCCAUUCCUACAUUGUUGUUAUAAAUACGGGUACACAUGCUUAGGUUGUAAUUAAGUUAUAUUAAGCACAUAUUAGUAUCAUACAAUAUUUUUAUCACUUUUGCACAUUUCUCCUUUGCACAUCUACACUUACAGAUUCUUUCAUCUGAGCACAUACUAUUUAAGUACUCAUAUUCAUUCAUUAUCUUGUAUAGUCUUGUAUAUUUUAUCUAUUUUUUGUAUUUCUCUUGUAUUGCUUGUAUCGGCUACUAUAACAACCGAAUUUCCCCUCGGGGAUUAAUAAAGUUCUCUAUCUAUCUAUCUAUCUAUCUAUAUCAUAUUCAGUCCAAGUGCUUUUAUUUAUUCGUUCGUCAGAUAAAAAAACACUUCAAGCAAUCUGAAACUCGAAAAAUCUGAACAAUGUGGAAAGUUUUUCAUAUGUUUUCUAUGGAUUAGAUUAAAAAAUGAAAUAUUUCAAGCCUUUUUUUGUUUGAAUUUAGAUGGUUUUGGCUUACUGCUUGUAAAAACCAGAAAUUGAAAUAUUUCUAAGAUCGAUUGAAAAAAGGUUUAAAAAACUGAAAUGUCAGACUGCUGACGUUUAUCUAAACACUCAUUUCUUGGUUGGCACUUUUUUAUGACCAAUCAGUUCAUUUAUGGGCUUUAGGGCUCAAUUAGCCUUCAGCUCUGCUGAGGCAUUACUGCUUUAUAGUGGCUGUCAACUAGUCUAUUGUUUUGAGUGUAUAGUAUCUCUCACCUUCCUCUUGACAAAUAUCCCAUAAUUUUCUAUGGUCAACUAAUCAUUUAUUAGUAAUUUUGGCGCCAUGGACAGGUGCUGUGUCUGCUUACUGGAAAAGGGAAUUGGCAUCUACACCAAGCUUGACAGUAGAUGCAAGAACAAAGCACUGUAAUAUCUCCUGAGUGAAAAAAAAAACAUUGUGGACCAACAACAGCAGAUGACAUGGCACCUUGAAUCAACACAGACCAUGGAAACUCCACGCUGUACAUCUAAUGCUGCGUUUGAGUUACCUCGAAAAUUGCCAGCGUUUCAGUUACCAUAUUCAGUCAGUUAUCUUGUCCAAUAUAACAAAAACAAGGCAAGCACUAAAAUAACUUUAUAAGAUGUAGCCAUCUUGUUUUCGCCUCCAAUUUUGCGUUUUUCCGACUUGGUAACUGAAACGCUGGUAUCUCGGGUGUGACGUCAUUUUCAGCUCCGACAUCUGACUUCCGAGGAAACUCGAACGCAGCAGAAGACCUUGGGGUAUCAGGAGUGUGACAGCUGUAGCCUCCUCUGUGCAUGAAGCCUCUCCAUUCAUUGACAUCAGCCUCAGUCCAUUCUUUGUCCACUCCCUUGAAUCAGUUUUUCUUGAGACUCCCCUCACAGCUGCUGUAAUUCCUUGUUACUUGUGCACCUUUUCCUUCUAUACUUUCUGCUCACAGUCAACUUUCCAUCGCUAUGCUUUGGUUUGGCACUCUGGCUCUGUGGCUCUGUGUAGUUUGUUCAUGAUCAUCUUUUUUAAAUUAUCAAUUAUCAAUGAUGAAGGAUGACUGUCUGAAGUGGAGGAAGCAACGGGAGCAGGAGCGCGAUGCAACAGUACACUCGCUGAGCGUUACACCAUGCAGGCGAAGGUGUUUUGUCAUGUUUGUCAUGCAUCCUCCUUUGGCAGAAUUUUUUUCGCAGAUGUUGUUCUGUGAUACUCCAUCUUUUAAAAUUAAAAUGAAGCCAGACUGUCAAGCGUUUUUUGCGGUCCAUGCUCAGACGAGUGAUGUUCUUGCAAGUGGACGCACAGAGAACGCCGAGCGGUGUGAUACACGCCUGGAAAACAAACUGGUGUGGGCAUUCAGAACCAAGAAAGAAUCGAAAUUCAAAAGUCAUCGUAAUGGUUCUGGGGCCGGACAUUAGGAACCAGUUCUCAGUACUGAACCCUACCUAUGAUUGUGGGAGCAUGUUAUGGGUUGGGUGCCAACACAGCUUUGUUAUAAAGCUGUUAAAUCACAGUGGAGCAGAACAUAUGUGCCAUUUUUGCUUUAGUCAGAACAGUGUUCAGGACUUUUGUCCCAUAAUAACACAAUUCUGAUAACCUGCAAUAGAAAUGAGUUGAACAGCUAAACUAAGAGAGCCUCAUAGUUGUUGGUCUGUUUGAAAUAAAUAAGUAUUUAUACCAAGGACAGUGCCAAAAAUAAGGUGAUAGAAUGCCAGCAACAGUAUUGGAUCACUCCAAAGUAAGAAUUUCAUUUCCCUUCAGCUUGAAAAUUACUCAAGAAGAAAAGACAAAGUUAGAAUUACCACACAUGAUGAAAAGCUUGGAAAAUUAAUCUGAGAUAAUAUAAAAAGUUGGAGAUGAGAGGUGACUGACAGCACUAGGUUUUUAGUUUUUAAACUUUAAUACCUCUAGUGAGUGCUGCAGUAAAGUACAGUGUGGUCUGUGAGCAGCGGUAAUAGAGUGAAGUCCUAUUCAAGCAGUCAGGCAGAGGGGUAAGAGAUGAGGGGAGGCUGGUGGUGGAGGGGGGAUAGGGAGCAUUGUAGAAGUAACAGAGAGAAAAGGCAAGGAGUACAUAGUCUUGAGUGAGACAGAGAGCAAGUUCAGGAGUGUGGAUAGUUAGAUAGCGAGAGAAACAAGAAGGUUAUCUAUGAUUUAACGCCUGUGGGGCCCUGAGAUGAGCCUUGCCUGUUCAAGCUGCUGUGAUUGCUGCUUGCUGCUGCUUCAGACUGAGGCCUUUCAGCUCAUUUCAUCAUGGAGCUCCUAAUGAGGCCCGGGCCGACUCCCUGGGCAUGGGGGCUGCAGACACACCUCCGAUGAAGGGGUACUGAGGGGCUCCAGAUUCUACCAACAACACCAUCAGGUCCUUGGCCUCUGAAGGGGGGGAGCAUGAGGAGGGAAAGUGGUGGUGUAGGUGGUGGUGGUGGUGAGUGUUGCUCCAGGGUGAGCUUGGAGACCCACUUUGUCCCGAGGCUGUGUGAAAAGGUCACUGCCUGUGAGGAGUACCCACAGGCCCCCGCUGCAGGGUGUCUGCAGGGAGAGUUGUUUUUGUUCAAACAGGAAGUGGCAGGUUAAGAGGAGCGUGUCCAUCAAAAAUAUGUCUGCUGUAUGCUCACAUGGAAGUGGGAGCUUUUGUUUUAUUGUUUGUUCCAGUGUACUCUGUAAGCACAGUUUGCCACUUGCCAUGUGUCAAAGCCUCCUUUGUUCGGGGUUUGACUAAUGAGCAAAUAGAUGUAUAAAGUGAGAAAUAAAAAGUGCAUUAAUGCCACAUCACGCAGAUUCAGAAUUGGCCACUUGAAGCAGGAUCCACAAUCAAGUCAGUACCCCCUUUGCCCCAUAUUGGGACACCCAACUCUGAGGGUCCUUUCACACCGGGACCGUUUUAUUGUGCGAUUAUUUCAGACGUCAAUAUUUUUUUCCGAACCUGUAUCCUGUCAGUACAAAUGUUCACAUCAGCGACGUUAUUCCGUCCUGUGAUAUUGCGGCAUUUAUUUUUUUCGGAUCACGGUCGAUUUUUCUAAAUUUUUGCAUACUGUGUGUCCACUUCUGACCAAUCAGAUCACGUGUUGUUGCAACGUCUGAUUCACCGGUAUAUCCAACAUGGCCGAUCGGCUACUUGUUUAUGUGUCAGAGAACAGAGUGCUUUUUGAUUAAAAAAAAACACAAAUAUUACAAAGAUAACGACCUGAAGGACGACUUGUGGAGAGUCAUAGUGUCGGAUCUCUCCUAUGACGAUGGUUUGUGUGCUUUAACAGUUUGCUAAAUGUCUUUGUUUAAACUUUCAUCUGUGCUAAGUAACUUUAGCUCAUAAGCUAACCUGUUCAGAUACAACAUACCAUAUGUAUUUUCACUGUCUCAAACUCAAUCGCGUUGCUGUCACAGCGCCAUUAGGUCUCAGUUGUUACCUUACGUUUAUGGAUUAUAGUUUAAUGUGCUUAUCUGGUACUGGCCCCGACUCAGUACAUGCUAUCAUGACAGACACCCAUCUCAACACUAGCGUCUAAUCAGAACUAAAAAACAGUCAGUCUGCUGUUGUGUCAGUCUUCCCGCUUCCACCCGGGACGCGUCUUUUUCCUCCUGGAAAGUCGCAAAAUCGCAUGAUGUGUAUAGUCAGGUGCGUCUAAAUUCGCCUCAGAAUAUUUCGUAAUUUCGCAUUCUAUAUUCGCAUCAGCCCUGGUGUGUAAGGACCUUAAUUUAGUCGUACACAAAUUUGGAUGUGGUCACUUUGAGUGACAAAUCAGUGCAUUCAGCCUUGUGCUAAGUGCUAUUUUAAUUCAUUACAAUCACUUUAGUUAUCCUCUUGGUUGUGUUUGUUCUGCGUUAUAGGGAUUUUUUUCAAGAAAAUAUGGGCAGCAGUGACUCAGUGGUAGCCAACCCCCAAUUUCCGCCGCAUCUGGAACGGCUACGAAAAGGCCAUAUCUGGCGAUCGUAGCUGAUCGUAACCAUUCAAGUAAAUGUGUAAAUUUCCACUGGCUUCUGUUCUGCUGCGGAUUGCCGGACUCUGCAGCUGAUCGCGAGAGUUCUAUUUUUUCCAGACGCUGGAGCAUGCCAUAUAACCCAUGCUGGAAAGGUUUUUAGACAGCAUUACACCCCGAUGAUACCAUGGAUGAGGAGAUGCUGAUUUUAGAAGUCUAGAGGCGGAUUUCUUCCUCUGAAAGGAAACAAUUUGAUGCAUUUCUGGUUAGCCUCUGUGGUUGUCUUUAUAGAGACAACUCGUGAUCGCACGAUUGUAUAUGAAUCCGUGGGUUCUUGUGAGUUCUCGCGAUUACUGCUGUCUGUAAUCUGCCACAAAAUUCGCCUCACCAACGGAUCCGGUAGGAAUUGGCGGACGGCAAAAAUCGCUGCCGUUCCAGUUGCGGUGCAAAUUAGGGGAAUUAUUAGAAGGUUACAAAUACAUAGUACUGGGUGAUACUGAUGAGCACUCGGCAGCUUCUGGUGUCAGCGUAUGAAUAUGACAGAUAGCAGGUUGUAGGAACUGUAGUGUUGAAGGCUGGUUAUUGUAAAUAAUCUGGUCUGGUCUCUACAGGUAUAUCCACCACAAAUACAACCUCCUAUUAUUGCAUUGCCAGCUAGAGAGUAAGCCAUUGAAGUAUACUGUUUGACUUUGCCAAUUUGAUGUUAGCUAACCUCUUGUUCAUCUCCACAACCUCUUGACUGAGUGUAGUCACGUAAAAAACCAACAUUGUUGCAGCCAAAAUGCUGAACAGGCAGCUUUGAAAAGGCAGUCGGGGUCAUGGUGGUAAUGUUUGAUAUUUAUAUAGUCUUUGGAUACAUACUGAGCCAGUUGUCAGUACCUAAUUGUACCAGUUAUUUAACGUUGUACCUCAGAUCAGUCUUGAAUGUAGAGUAGUAAUAGAGAAGUGACAGCCAUACCGUAUGUGUCAGUAUGGGUGCCUCCCUAAUGACAGGCAGCUCUAGGGGAUAUGAAAGGCAUGGUGGCAGGGGGGUGGGGCAGCAGACUUGCUGGUGGAGCGACCUGUCUGUUCACCCCAGCUCUGGCCUUUGUACAGAGUUAAUGAUGCCACUAAUAUGUUCUUUAAAGACCACACUGUGAUUCAUGGCUUUCAUUAGCCCUGUGUGCCAGGGUGUCUUUCUCCCUCUCUCUCCCUCUUUCUCUUCUCUGUCGCCCUUUUAAUGAUGGCCUGGAGACGAGGUGGCACGCUUGACCCUUAAUCAUACAAGCAAGAGGAGGCUGGUGGUGAGCGAGGGGCCGUGAUUAGAUGGGAGGUUUUUGGAGAAAGGCAGGGGGUGGGAGUAAGAGGAGGAGGUAGAAAUCUAUAACAGUUGUUCGUAAUCCUGCUCUUCAGGGCUGGUUAACUUCUCUGCUCAGCACAGCAUCUCAUGUUGAGUAUUUACAGAAAGUACAUACUUAUUUAUCUUUUUUUCCCACCAUCUUCAACUUCCUGUCAGUGUGUUUUAGAAAAAUGGUUACGUUUGCCUGCAAGUCUGAUCAGAAUAUCUGCUUCAGUUUUGUUGAUGGUGUUGCAAGUGAUUUCAGUUGUCAGAUUAUACAGUAAAUAAAGCUGUCAUGUCUUACAACUUGGGUUUUUAUAGCAGAAUCUUGACUGUCGCUCCUGUUGGUAAGAGUAAUACUGUUCUGCCAACUUAACAACUUAAAAACUACCCCCAGAAAUCAUCUGAUGAGCAAAUUACAAAGAUGUUUGGUGGCUAGUUCUUUGGCUGGGACCCUAUAUGUACUAUUGAUGAAGUUAGGUGCUGUUCUGAGCAUUAUUUGUGGCUAUAGAGUGGCGUUUUCAUUGAGGUUUGUGUGUGGCUCCUCAGAUUGCUGUGUAUUGCUAUCGUGCGGUCGUUACUAAAGUUGGUAUAACUAGAGAAGCAACAUAACUAGAGUCGGCAACAUUCCUUUCGAGGGGAUGUCUAACUCAAUGUUACGGUGUGUUUGACCCUAACUUAAUUUUACGUUGGAAUAUCCCUUUAAGUGCACUUACAUGAAUACAAAACUGUUGCACCUUUAGAAACUUUCUGGGAUAACUAAAGCCUCCCAGAUGGUCAAAGUUACAAAGUUAAAGACCCAAGAUGUGUAAAAAAAACAGGAACCAUCCCUUAACAAGUGCUUUUUAAGCUUUCGGAAACUAUUACUACAGUGACAUGUUCCUAUUCAGUGGAGUAACAGACUUGGUGUAAACUGGAACAGAGGGCAACACUAACUCAGACAAACUGUUGGAGAGUGUAGGAGUGUGUAUACACACACACACAAACACAGAGGGUCUGAGUGUGUAUGUUCACAAAGGGGUAAACAUAACACCAUCUCUCACCUCCAGCAGUCUGUUGGGAGCAGAGAAAAUAAACAAUAAAUAAAUUACACACAGACACAGUGUACUUGGUCUUGCUUUGCAGAGAAUUACAGUUGUUUACAUGAGUGUUCAGGGGGUGGCAGGUAGACCCACACCAUGUCUGUGUGUAUCAUGUUGGACCGCUGACGCUAGGGAUAAUUUCAAUAAUUUACACUCUCCGUGUGAUUGUAGGAAACGCCUCGUGUGUUACUUUUUAAAAAUGUAAAGCAGGCCAUGUUAGUCUCUGCCCACCGACCACAACCUCCACACACUCACACACACACACACACACAUACACACACAUAUAUAUAUAUACAACAUGGCUCUGGACCAGACGAUUCCCCAGAUGAUAAAAAGCAGAUGUUUUCCCAACAGGGGGUAUUCUCCUAAUGCUUCUAUACCAACCAUAAAACCCCCUCUCUUCUGUCCUCCUCUCCUCCUCCUUCUUCUUUUCCUCUGGUCUCUUCCCAAGCCAUCCGUUUUUCUGCAGAAUAAAGACAGAUUAGGGUCUAAAUCCCUCCGCAAUUUGGGUCAUGGCCUUUUGUGUGCUCCAUACGGUGAGAGGAGUGGCACACAACCGGGCCCCCAUUUGCCAGAGAUCAGGGGGUUAGGCCUGCAAGUGAUUGAGGGGGAACUGCACAGUGUGACCAUGUUUGGAGAAAUAAUGAGAUUGAAUUAACAGAGAGUCUAUGGUGGAGACCUGGGUAUCACACAGAAGAGGAGAGGUGGAGGACUGCAAAGAGUAGGAAGUAGAAGGAGGUGAGGAGAUGCUAGCAGAAUGGGUGAUUUUAUACAUUUGCGGAAGCUGUGAUAGUUUACAGUCAGCAGUGGAGUUUAACAUGCACAAAAGUUACUUCCAACACUAUUCUAUCAAUCCCUCCCUUAAACCUUUUGGAUAUGAUGAAAUUGGUGAAUAUAGAUCUCCAGGCCUUUUUUGUAGAUUAAAACAACACAACAGAUGGAUUUUGUUCGCCUCAUCAUUUGAAAAUCUUAAUGUUGAGUCUGAAUUUCUAGAAAUUUUUUGGUUGUCUUCUUGUGUGUAUGUUCUUGUGGGAUUACCCAGAAGCUCCAGCUCUUGAAAUACUGUGCAAAAACAGGAAACACCACCAGAGAAAACAUCAUAUAGCUGCAACAAUCCAACCUAGCGCCUCUCUCCUUAACUCCACUUUCGUCUGUGUUACCAUCUCAUCCUGAGUUCAAAGCAGCGUGAUGUUAAUGAAGGUUCCCAUGUACAAAGAGAAGCUUAUGUAAAUGUUACCUCUCCAGAUGUUCUAUAGCUCUCAGAGCCAGAACUCCAACAAGCCCCGAGCCACAAAGAUCCAGCGAGCAUUUAGACAAACCUUUGUACCUUCACUUGCCUAUAGGGCCUAUCAGACCGUCGCUGCCUGAGAAUCAAUAUCUGCUGCUAAUGAAACUUAGCCACACAUUUUAAUGAAGGAGCCAAUUUGCAUUUAAAAGUAACAAGAGGGGAAAUGGGUUCAUUUUUCCCCAUUCCUUAUUUAGUGUGUACAUUUGAACAGAAAGCACUGAACAGGUUUGGUGUGUGGCAACAUUUGUCUGUUUGCAAAGAGGUUUAUUCAUCAGGUGCGGCAUACAUGUUGUUGCUGAAUGUUUAAAGAAACUCUGCCGCUCUUUAUACGCACACUAGAUGACAUAUUGUUGUUGAACUGUAAUAUUGAUGAUAUUUAUUGAAAAUAUUGUUUCUAAAUAUUGUGUAAAAUAUCGACUUAAAUCCUGCAUCAAGAAAAAGACACAUAAGGGAUCAUGAAGAAGAAGCGACCUAGUUUUCCACAUUAAGCAGACCAACAUUUAAUUCACCAGCCUUCUUUCUGUUUAUUGAUAUGAUUAUAGUCAGUCCACACAAGUCUGAUUAGAGUUGUCAUAGCAACAGUCAGUUCUUCAAAGCAACAGUCUGCUAUUGUUGAAAUAGCAAAAAUGAAAGCACUGCAAUGAAAUUUUUCUUUAUUAUGACCAAUUAGAAACAAACUGCCCUGACAUACUGCAUGUAUAAACAAACUAUCUACAUCUGAUUUAUAUGUAUAUUGUAUUCACAUUGUAUUGAGCCUUGUAGUUAACAAAUAUUACAGGGUUACUGAAUCAAACAUGCCUCUUGAGUUCAUAAGGCAAACUUAUUUACAAAAUAAAACUUAUUUUUAAACAGAGAAGAGAAUAAAUAAUAACAUAGUAUCAUGUAUUUUUUUUUUCCUGUGGACUGUCUGUUUUUUUAAAAAAAGUGUCUACCCACUGUACAGCUUUUUCAGCUGCAUCUAGCUGAAAACUUAGUUGAGGUGGUAAAAGUCUAGUAGAAGAAUGAGCUAACAUUAUUUGGUUCAGAAUACUCUCUAUAAGUCAAGUCAAAAUUUCAUUACAUGGUCAAAAGCCAGCACAAUCCAGUGAAAACCAUCAGUUGGAUUUUUCAGACAUUGAUAAAACCGGGUCUUCCAUUUUUUUUCUAGUGUUUGCAUUUUUGAUAAUCCUGAGGGUAUUUUAAUAAUAGAUAAAGAUUAGUAGACACUGUGCUUCAGAAUCACAUAGAUAUCAAUAAGUUGCAUUGCCUUCUAUUUUUAGCUCUAAGCUCCUGUGAGGAGAAUAGGUAGGGAACUAGAUUUAAAUAAAUACUGAUGCCUCUAUGUGGGCUAGAAAGGCAAAGAUCAUGAUUAUCACAAAGACCAAACCUAUCCUGUACUGUCACUUUUAUUGUCUGAAACUGCUGGAGCAGGGUUAGGUUCAAGGAAAGUCUCAGCGGCACACCACUAAAGCAGACUUUGUUGACAUUUACCACAGCAAAGACUCUCAAUAAGUUGUGGUGCAACAGAUCACGGCUGGUUUGUGAUCCGUUGCACCAUCCCAUGCUCAGUUCGGACCACGUGUUAUAUGGAUGAAAGCAUCUCAGAACAAAAUGAAUAACUGCAUUUUGUUGCACAUUGAAAGGUGAUAACUUGAUUCACUGAGACUUGUGAUGGGAAUUACAGCUCUUUUUAGUGAGCCAGAUUAUUCAGAUCAGCCCACCAGCUCUUUCAGCUCCCGAAUGGCUCUUUAUUUUACCACUUAUACAUUUUAAAAUUCAGCUAAAUUUAGUGUUGUUGGGUUUAUGAUAUGUACGUUUGUGUGCACAUACUUAUUAAAUAAUUCAGUACAUCCUUUAUACUGAAGUAAUCACAGGUAAAAAUCAUGUUUUCUAAUAUCAGUAAAUUGCUGUAGCCAAUUGUUUUCAUUGCAUUUACAGACCCUGGUAACUCUCUGAAACAACCCAAUGACUGCACUGACUUGCUUGUAGAACCCUCUGCUUCACAAAGCAGAUAGAAAUCUUGUCAUUCUGUCUUGUAGUUUUUUUCUACUGUCUGUGGAGGGUAAAAAAGAUAAGGAAAGGGAAAGCGGCUCACAGUCGGGAGCCGGCUCUUUGAACCGGUUCGUUCAUGACCGACGCAUCGCUAACUAAGACACAGUGAUAUGAGUACUGGAGUGCUUUAUGUGGUCCACAGUACACACAGCUGGAUCACUGAGACACCAAGAUUUACAGUAGAUGACUAGAGGGCUGAGCUUAUUCCUAUUAUUUUGAGUCAAGUAAUCCAACUCUUUUUUAAAGUGAAAGAGAGAUUCGAGAUCUAUUUCAGUAGUGUUGAUAAAUGAUAUAUUUGGCUAUGAAAGGAAAGCAAUAUGAGAUUUUUAGACAGCACUACCUGCACAUGAUUGACACAAGACCAGCGAGGAGAUAAAAUGUCCAAGUUUGUCCACAGGGGGCGCCAACAUUCACUGGUUUUCCCUAACCUUUUCUUUGUUUUUUCAGUUUGUGCUGUAGUCACUUAUUCAUCUCGCACUGCCACAUAAGUUUGUUUGAUUACAAUGACACAUCUGUAUAGUUUGUGUGUUUGGACAUUUCUGAUUCACGUUAACAUAUAGCUCACAUGUUGAAUCUCUGUCACCCAUCCGCUGUUACACCUUCUCUGUUCUACAUCUACAGCAAAUCCAGCCUCUUUCUACUUGUUAAAAUAAACUGCUACAGUAAAAAAGCUAAGGGCAUGUUUUCUCUUCUUUUUUUCCCCUUCAAGUAAAGCUCAAAUCCCACAUUUGAGUGAGGGAUAAAUGGUGGUCAUGCCUCCAGACUUUCGACUAGAUGAUUUGAUUCAGAUAAACAAGCGGCAUGCUGCACAGACUCUCGUGUUUUCUGUGUAAUCUUCUGCUUGUAACAGGAGCUUUGAUUCCUGUUCAGGUGGGGGAUUUCUCCUCUGGACCAGGUAAAACAUUAAAGCCUCUCACUUAACAGUCAGAGCUUACCUUAGGCAUUUUUGCUUUUUUUUUUUUCUCCCCCAAUUUUAUUCAUUAUAUUUCACAUUUGUGUGUUUUUUGGACAAUUCUGUUUUGCUUUAUUUUUUCUGAGAGAAUAUCAGACACAAAGUGAACCCCUGUUGGGAUGGAGGUUGUAGUUUUGAAAAAAGUUAAUCACCUUUGAAAGAUUUACUUUUUCUGGCCAUUGGGGCUAAAUAUUUGUACUUUUUCUUUAACAAUGCAUUAGUGUCUAAAGUUUACAGUAGUGGAAAAAUCUCUGGGGAUCUCUGGCAUUGAAUAUCUAGAAAACUCAAAUACAUGAUCUGGCUGUUUUCUUGUUUUGUUGAGGUUCAUUAAACCAUUUUUAAUUCAAAAGUGCAACUAAAAAUAUACAACUGCUUUCUGGAAUUUCAGGCUUUAACAUUAUUAUACAUAUUCUGCACACAGACUGAUGUUAGCAAAACCAUUUGAGACCAUGUGAAACACUGAACAAUAUCAGUGUUGUUUGAUAAAUUAAAACGUUGUAAAAUUAAGGUAUUAAAUCCACGCAACUGUUGGAGAAGUGACCAUUUCUUUGACAUAUCCUGUGACUUCUUAUGUAACCAUCUGACAGACUUUAGCCAAACACCUUUUUCUUCAUGAAUGUACAUCCUCUGAUGGUAAAAGUUCCCUCUCUGCAAGCACACAGUAUCUCCACUUUGUCACGCUGCGUUCACAAUCCUUUCUUCUCUCCGGCAGCGCCCUGCAACAUGAAAGAACAACCUGCUCGUUUUAUGUAAAUAACAACAAGGCCGCGUCUCCUCUGUGUGCCACUCUUGGUGAGAAUACCCCAAGAUCUUUGCAGCAAAUUUUUUCCCGUUCUCCCCUGCCGGCAAAGUGUGCCACAAUAGCAGCUGCAGCAGGAAGGCAACUUAGCCUCCAGCAAGACUAAAGUGUGCAUCAGAGUAAAACAGUUGUUUACUUUGUUUGAACUGCACUAUCUCACCCACGGGAGCCUGUGCGCUUGAAGUUCUGCAUCUUUCACUCUCAACUUGUGACAAAGAGUCGGAUGAAUAACAAUGUCAUUUUCUCUACCUUCUCCCCCCUCCCCCUUUUUUCUCCACUUGUCUUCUUUUCUGAGUUCAGUCUAUUUCUUUUUCCACCGCCGCCCUUCUUCUUCCCCUUUGCACUCCUCUCAAAUUAUUCAUCGUCUCUUUUAAACUUUCAGCAUGCAGUAAAUUGAUGGUGACACACAAACUACAUUAUGUUUUCUCACUCCUUUUUUUAUAAACUAACAGCACUGCUCAUCUCUCUUUAAUUGCGCAGCAGGUGGGGACACAGAUGCACACAGAUGUGAGUGCAGGAGGCCGAGAUGAGAGGAGGGGAAACGAGGGGGAGGGAUGAAAAAGACGGCGUAGCGGCGGAUUGUGUAACUUAGUUAAAGUGAUGAAGCAGAGGUCCUAAGUGACCCAGCUCAGAUGUGAAUGUUGUCUGUGCGCUGAAGUGGAUACAAGAGAGCAGGAAGAGAAAGACAUGAUACUUAUUCUUUACUCUGCUUUGACUUUAAAUUCAACUUCAAACUACUACUGCUCAAGAAUGUAGCACAUUUAACCAACUUUAUCAAAGUUCCCUCAAAUAAACUUGAGUAAAAAGAUGGACAUAAAUAUGCAAGAUGCCAUUCAAUCUCACUUGUGAAUUUCCUUCAUGAAAGCACAGUCUAAGGUUUACACUUGAAGACUUAGUAAAUAGUUUGGAAAAAAAGUUACGGUAACAGUUUAUUUGGUGUCUAUCUCUAUAACACAUUAUAAAUAUAUGUAUAAUGUGUUAUAAUCACGUCAUAGCACUGUAUAACUAUAGUUAUAAACACUCAUAGAUGAUCAUAAUGCUUUAUAGCAAUAAUCAUAUCACAUUAUAAAGCGUUUAUCAUGACUUACAAGGUCAGGAAUUAUAAUGUCUUUUAAGAGUUUACAACAGUUUUAAUGCAUUUUCUAUGUGGGCAUUGUCAGUGAGUUGUUAACAGUUAUAACACAUUAUAAUACCUGACCUUGUAAGUCAUGAUAAAAUGCCUUAUAAUGUGUUAUGAUUGUUGCCAUAAAGCAUUAUGAUCAUUUAUGAGUGUUUAUAACUAUAGUUAUACAGUGCUAUUACGUGAUUUUAACGUGUAACAAAAAAAUAAUAUAUUUAAUAAUAAUUAUAUACUCUCAUAAUAAUGUAAUGUAUAACAUACUGAAUUUCCCUUCUGGGAUUGAUAAAGUUCUUCUUCUUCUCAUUCUUAUUAUACAUAUAUUUAUAAUCUGUUAUAGAGAUAGGCGUCAAAUAAAAUGUGUUACCAAAGUUACAUUUAGACGUCUAAUUGACCUCCUUUAGACCAAAAAAAUGCUCAGUGAGCUUAUAUUAAGUAAAGAGGCACAUAUACCUUGAUUUCACUUUAUUGAUCAUCCUAUUGGUGGCUUUAUGGUUUUUGUUUUUAUUGACUUUUCCUCUUUAGUUGACCUUACUGAUUUUGUCAAAUUCUUGUAAACUUACCUGUAAUUUCGCCUUAGAAAGUACUUCAUCAAUAUGAUUGUGAAUUAUUUUGCAGAAAUAUAAUAAUGGUUGGAGUCAUAUUGAAGCAUUUUAGCAGGUCGCCUUCCUAAGACUCUAAAUGAGCAGAAACCUCAAUAAUAAUUAAAGUCACAUAAGCCGUGAUCGUCAUGUUCAUCUAUGUCUCUUCUGUGCUGUUUAUCCUUAAAGCAACAUAUUUUCUAGUAGUUGUCUUUUUUCCCUAUCAGCGCAUGUUUAAGUUGAGUGUUUGCUCUGUAUUCUUGUGUUGUUUUCUCCUCCGUCUCUCUGUGUUUUAAUAGAGAUACAGGCCUGGCGUGUCAGUCUGGGGACACAGAGAGCAGAACAGAAGACAGAUCAAAGCUUCAAAAGAUUAUUGAUCGGAGGAGAGGCAGGUUGUAGUUUUGGCUCAGGAUCAGGUUGAAGUGUCCAUACCUCUGUCCUUGAUCCAGUUAUGUUUGUUUUUCUUUCUUGAUGAACAUGACUUUAGGGAAGAGAAAAAAGGCAUGUAAUCCAAGAGUGCGUGUGCUAUUGUAUGUACUUUUGUGAUUGAAAACACAUGUCUGCGCAUGUCUCUCAGCUGCUGCUUGAUUUUCUUCCUCUCUCUCCCUCUUUUGUCUGUUUGUGUGGAUCCGUGUGUGCGCUGCUGUUUGUGUGUCACUAUGUCCACAGCUACACAGAAAUGAUAAAUUUGAGGUUAAAAAAAGACGAGAUCAUAAAUAGUCACACUUUUACUGAUGUACAAGUCAAACGGUGAAAGAUAUCCAGGCUGAAAAAUAGUCAAAUGUUGAUUUGAUGUGUGUUUUUGGUGAGACAGCUUUCCCCACAUCCACACUGUUGCCUCCUCUUUCCACCCUCUUCACCUCUCCCACAGAAGAUGAAUAAGUAAUUCUUGGUAUCAUCAUAUGUGAUUGAAGGGGCUCUGAAAAGCAGCAGUGAGGAGCGUUGCCCGAUGAAGUGAAGUGUUGAAAAGAGUGAUUAUUUUUGCUUCACUGAGGUCUUAUUUUUCAGAGUGCCACUAAAAGCAUGCGAGACUUGUGUCACUUUGCACUGAGAGGACGGAGCGGCUGAAGGGUGAUUUGAGAAGAGAUGAAAUAAAAGGUAGUGACACCCCACUCCCCACCUUUUUUUUCCCCCCUUUUUCUCAAAAAUCUUCAUUCUUCUAGCGGCUCCACUCAUCUUCUCCAUGAGGCAGGCUGGGCUGUAUUUAUGGCCGAGUGCCCACAGCUAAAGCUAAUAUUAUGAGCUUCCACUGUGCCAUCCAUAUUGUUUUACCUCGCGUUGCCUGCGGUGAGGAAUAAAUAAAGUGUCAUUGGCAGCUUUCAAAGCACUCCUCCAGCAGGUUGGAGAGCAGACUGGGCUGCAGAGAUGGAAAGAAAAGGGGGCUGUCACUUUGGGUUGGGUAAUUUUUGACGUGCACGUCAAGGCCUUGACAAGGGGAAUGUGGCCGGCUUGUACAUUAGAGCUCAAGCUCACAGGCAAGAAGGCAGCACAGCACUAGGGACAGGUAGUAAUGCAGUCCCAGAGAGUGCUGCUCAUCUGCUAACACUAUGUACUUGUCUGGUGCCACACAAGGAUGCCCCCUGUCGCCUUGGCUCCACUCCCCCCACCCCCCAUCCCUCUGCAGAAAUGACUUAAGUCAGUGCGGGAAGAAUCCAUUUACAAUGUGUGCUUUAUAACAUCUCUUUGACAAUGCAGUCAUGGAUUAGAGACAUUUGUGAUGAAUCUUUCAUGGAGACUUUUUCCCCCCAUCUUUCUUUUCCAUGUGCACCAGGCUUUUCAGGGUCCACAUGUGUCUGCUCGGAUGUCAUCGCAGGAAGACGGGGAGAGGAAAAAGCAAUGGGUACUCACCAAACGAAGAAAAAAAGGAAAGAGGAGGGGAAAAGGAAAGAGGAAGAGUGACACAGAAUCGUCAGAGUGGGGCAUUAAAAUUUAUCUCCAAGUCACAAUGGCAGCCAUGAUAGCAGCGUGAAACUUUCCUUUGAAAAUGAACGUCACUUGUCCUCUCAGUCAUGCACUUCCCUCGCAAACCAAGACAAGCGCUCUCUGUCCUCAUCAAUUCUUCACCGCCAUUUUGACAUUUAUUUUACUCAUUUGCAUAACUGCUCCCCGUGUCUCUUGUUUCGUCUCGGUUCGAGCACAUGCAGCAUCCUCGCUUUUUUUUUUUCUUCAACUUUUUUAAAAACGCUGCUUUAAAAUUAAUGCUGGCCCUGAGAAAUAUAUAAAUAUAUCCUAAAGUUGACAUGAUGUUGUUCUACAAUAUUCUCUUUGAAAAGCGAUUUUGUUCAUACUUAAAGCUGCUGUGGAGGUGCGGCUAACGCGCACCCGGGCUAACAAACACGCACUCUGUUGUCCAGCCUCGCCAUCCCUGCUUCUGUCUGUCUGUCUGUCUGUCUGUCUGUCUGCUCUGUGAUGUUAACAUGGAGAGAUGCAUACUGAAUGAUACAAUCCAGCCAAGUGAAUGCUGCUUUUUUAAUGCGCAGGCCUCAAGCAAGUCGAGAACUUUACUUGUUUACUUUGUAGUUUUUUUGAACGUUUGCAGACACUUUGGGAGCCUCUGAAUGUGCCCUGUGGCUUUACACAAACUUGAUUUAUUUUUAAAGAAAAAUAAAGACACUAUGACCUCUGAAUAAUUAACACAGUGUGUCUUCAUGUUGACUUUAAUUACUUUGUAGAUGUCCUUUCAAGUUGUAAAAGGGUACUUGUCGAGAAAUCUUUCCAUUCCUUUUUGUAAUUUUCUAUAUUUCUAUAUUUUUCCUGGAGAUAAAAUCUGAAUCUCUCCAUUUAUUCCCUAAAAUAAAUCUGCAUAAAUCCUUCUCCCGCCCGAGCUGCUGUUGUCCGGCUUUCAGGCGGCUGCUCCACAGAUGGCUUUUCUCUCUUUCUUUUUUUUUCCUCUUUUCUUCCUUUUUUUAUACUUCAGGCUCACCUGUCUGCCCUCAUUGUCCAUUUGAAAGUCAGAGCAGCGGCAAGAACCUGAGAACGACUCAAUGCAAAUGCUGCAUGAAGAAAAAAGUAUUAAAAAUUGAUCACCUUUCCAUUUGAAUUCAAGGAAGCCAUCAUUCUCCAUAAGCAGGCCUGUCUCUUUAAAUCAGAGGAACUGUCGCUUCUGUGACUGCCUGUUUACAAAAUAUGAGGCUGAAAAUGAGACCUGCUCCCUGCGGACAGGCUCCUUGUAUAAAUAUAAAUAAUGAAUAUUAGAUAAAUAAUUUCUGCCCCUUUAAUAAUGCACAACUCACGAAAUUCACUUACACUGUGAAACUGGAGAAUAGGACUAAAAGUAGAUAAUGCAGUGGUACAAUGGAGGUGAGAUUGUGUGUGUGUGUGUGUGUGUGUGUGUGUGUGUGUGUGUGUGUGUGUGUGUGUGUGUGUGUGUCGUAGAGGAAACAGGACAGGUUAGAAGGCCCCUGCUGACCCUCAGGUCACCUGAGUGAAUCCUACAGUGCAGGUAAAGAUGUUUGGCUGAAUUCUCACCAUAUACUCUGCUCCAAGUGGAUAUAAAAAUAAUUAUUUAGUGUUAUUCAAUUAAGAUAUCCUGCUGAAGGAGGUCAAAUAAAAAUGUAUUUACACAAGCUAAUCAGGGGAGUUUGAUGUGAACUGGAGCCCAGUUACUGCUUCGCUCCCUGGGGGAAGGUGGACUCUGGAGUCAGGCAGAGCUGCUCUGCUGCCUGUGUGUCUUAUGGAGAGAAAAAGAGGGUGGAGAUUUGAUGAAUGGUUAAUUAUGAAAACCCUUGUGCCAAAGCUAAAACUGUAAUUAGCCUUAAUUGGCUAAUUGGAUGGAAUUGGUGGAUGGUAUAAGCUUAAUUGCCCCAUUUUAUUCAAAGCAUUUAGUGCAAAAUAACGGACGUAGUCGUGUCAGAGACAGUAAAGCCCAUUUUUGUUUAAAGUAUAAUAAAUGUGUCCUGUAGAAAUAGUUUUUUGUGUGUUUCUCAAGAUGUACUGCAGCCUGAUCUGUCAUCAUGACCCCUCUGAAACAUUUUUUUUUUUACUGUUUUAAAGUUCAUGAGAAUUAUUCCUUUUGUUAAAUUAACCCAAAACAUUCGAAAAUAUAAUUUUGUUGCUUUUAAUUGUGCCAGUUUUAUUAACACAUAGCUAAUUACAGCAUACCUAAAGAUUCUUGACCUUUUUGUGAUUUGCCAUUUGCAGACUUUCAACUGCACCAAACUGGUUUCUGUUUACUCUAAACUUCUUGGAAAGCACAACAGGAGGAUUCAUGUGGUGAAACUCACUCCGAAAUUGGGAAAGAGCUUUUUAAGGAAGUAUUUUAAUAAGUCUUACAAUUUGAAAUGUUCAAGUCACUUAAAGCAAAAGAUGAAAAAUGUGUUUACUUUUUCUUAUGAAUAGGUUAUACAUUUAAUUUUAUAAGAAAUGACAUUAUAAAGAGAAACAGCACCAGUAACAUGUUUUCAAGUUGACUUGGAAACUCCAAGAACUUUACUUUUUUUACUCUGGUAUGUUUUGUUUCUCACCUGUGCACCACUUCAACCUUUGCAUUGACUUGUUGUGCAGCAGCCAUAAACUCCAGUGAAACCACCUUUUUUUUUUUCCCCUCUAACCUGCUGAUUCACGGUGCACAGAUGGAUGGGUGCAGAAACCUUCACUGCGCUCUGAGACAGACCACUGAAACAAGAAUUUUCUCUCCUCUUCUCCCUGACACACAAACACAAACUCUCACUGAGUAUUAGAGCAGCUUUGAGUCAAGGUGCUCAGACUGUGUGCUAAUAACACCAUCUAGAAUUCACGCCCUCCAAAUAGGUUAAUGUGUUUUUGCCCAGAGGGCCCGAUCUACCUCUGCAGCAGAACUCUCUCUGAGCUUCCAUUAAGCAACAACACUGAGGCCUAUUAGCUGCUGUGGGUGCAAGGAGUGAGAAGUCUGUACGAACACUCUUUUAUGCUGGUGUGUGUUUGUGUGUGUGAGAGAGAUAUGUGUGUGUUUUUGUGGACCGUGCACUGAGAGUGUCACUACCUGUUCAGACCGGCUGCCCUGUGUUAACUGUUGCAGGAGAACAAUGUUAUGGCCCCUGACAGCUUGUUAAAGAGUCCACCAUGUUGGAGCUGCUCUCACUUUGUUGUUUCAUUGCAAACUGUGAUACACAGCGCACAUUUCAACACGUUGACAGGACACACUCACACAGCCUCAGAUUAUUGUUUGUGAAGACGUUGGAGUGUGAAGAAAUAAGUGGAACAACAGAGAAAUUCAUGCAGCUUUUUGACUCCAGAUCAAUAUUCAGUGUCUCUUCUUCUUUAAUAAGAUCCGUCUGUGUCUUAAAAUGAUUUUGGUUUCAUUCUGUAUUGAUUAAUGUGCAUUUCUGCUUUUUUCCACUGUUACUGUUUUUAAGUGAAUGUAUUAAUAUAUCAGGAUUGGAUUUAAAUGGGUAAAAACAUAUCUCCUGUCAACCUCCAGGUAGACAAACUUUAGUGGUUUCUGCUUUUAACAAUGUCUCUUUUAUAAAUGUAUAUAUAAUUUAAAAUCAUUGUUAUAAUGAAUACAAUUUGGACGUUUAAAAAUGUAACGUAAUGAGGGUGUGUAAAUUGUUAAAUGAUGGGCUAAAAACUCAAGGUGCUUGUCUUGAUUAGACAUGCAGUAAAGGAAUUGUAGAUUUAGGUUAAAGCCUUAAAUCCUUAACAACAGCUGACCUUUCCACUCUCUACUUCACAGACCGCUCACAUGACGAAAAAUCUUGAAUUAAUCAAAUUUACAUAAAUACUAAACGCAGCAGGAACAUUUUUAACCUUUUGAACGUUUUCGUAUCUGAACUUUCUCUUCUCUUGAACAAACUUUGGAUGUUUUUCUUUUUGGGAUACACACACAUGGAGAAUGCCUCCAGAUUUAUCCGUCUGUUGUUUGGCAUUUUCUGUCGUCAAAUCAAGGUUCAUCCCGCUGCAAACAACUCUAUCAUUCAGAGCUGGACUCCUUGGUGAUAUUUUGGCAAAUGAUACCAAAACGUUUUAACUCAACGGCAUAAUUAUUGAGAACAAAAAAAAAAGGGAAUCUUAAGACCGGCUUAAUCUGAAGGUUAAUUAAAGUCAGGAAUGGUCCAGUAAUGGAGCAAAUACGAGUCAGUGUUCUUAAUAUUUUAGAUAUCAGCUUAAUUUAUAGUCUCAAAAAGUAUAUUAUAUUUAAUAUUUUACAUUACGCUGCAAAAGACAAGGCCGUAAAGGCUAGAUUAAAAUUUAACUGAGAAUUUCAAAUUAUUAAACAAACUCUUUAUUCUUCUGGUUUUUGUUGUGAUUACCUUUUUAAUUUGUGAAUUUAAGUUUAAUUUCUUUUAGCUUUAAUCCAUAAAAAAGACAUUUUUAAAACUUUUAACAGUAUUGGUGUUAUUUCUGAAUGUAUUCGAUCUAAUAGGUAAUGAUUUUUCUCAUCGAUUUGGAUUCCUCAGUUAUAGCCGUGAGCUGUGUAUAGUGUGCAUACAGUAUAUAACUUUGUGCAACAUACAGCUGAAGGGGAUAUAUAUUUGAGAAACACUGAUUUCACAGCACUUAAAAUGGAUUUAGAUUGUAUUAGCGAUGAGAUCUGAUAGAAGAUGUAUAUACACUUGGUGUUGUAGGUAUUUUUUUGCAGUUCUUUCACAUGAAUAGAUACCAGGAAAUGAAUUUAUAAUACAGUAUUCAUAUUUAACAACAGAAAAUAUGAAGGUCAAGCAUUUUUGUCCGAAGAUUGUCAAAACGUUUCUCUUUGUGUCAAAUAAAUUUUUACAAAAUGUUCUUGACGUGUUUCAACUUUUAUACCUCCCCAUACAGUAUUAUCCAUUAUAAAACAACAUGUGAAUAUGUAGGUUUGAAAGUAAUUUUUUAAAUCAGAAGUCACAUAUUUUCUGAUAAUAACAUAUAUAAUAAUAAUAAUCUAGUAUUAUAUUGUUUUACGCUGCUCAAACAUUUCUUCAAGUGAGGGAUAAUUUCUGCUCUCACAGAGGAUGCUGAAUGUUUUGUGUCAGCCUGACCCCUUGUGGACACCCAUUGUACUCACUGCUGCUCCGCUCUCCCAUUACCAGAAGCAUCACACAAAACAGUACAAGGGAAACAUCCAUAAAACUUGUAUAAAUUUUGUUUAAAUGAAUAAAUCAUCAAUUGUGAUGUUUUGAUUGCAUUUCACAAGCAACACAUGUCCUGAAUUGUUUUUGCAGAGAGUAUCGGAGUUUUUUUUUUUUAAAAAGAGCCUCCGGCUGUUAGCAGUGGUCUGUGUCUGUGAACAUUUAUUUGUAUUUAAGUAGACCAAGACAUUAUUUGUAUUGUUUGAUGCCAAAGUCAAUAAGAGCCCGUACAGAAAUGUGGUUAAAUGUCUCUCUAUUCUCUGAACUGCAGUCAGUGCGUUUGCCUUUGACAACAAUAACUCAUACAUUGAAUAUGUAUUACAGACUGAGCAGUCCUCUGAGAUCUAAUACAUAUAUUUGAUGAAUUUAGUGACUGACUGCUCCGGCCUUUAUCGUCCAGGGUAAAAUAGAUCUGACCAACUUAGAGACAGCAGAACUAAUUAAAUGGAUAAAAGAUAUAUAUGGGCUCCUUAGAGGAUGUAAAAUUAAUAGCAGACCAAAGGACUUGCCUCUGAGCGACUUCGUCCGCUCCACAGCACAGAGACGACUUCGAGGGCUGAGUGUGUGAGGUGUGUGUGUGUGUCUGUCUGCUAAUAUUCAAGUGCAUCUUUACUCUGACAUAUGGGCAUCAUUUGUGAUGUAUAUUUGAUUUUCAUGUUUGCAUUCAUCUGCACUUCAUCUUGUGUACGCUGGAUUUUUAUAAUGGGUCCCUUUACAGUUUGUGGAUGUUGAUAAGAAGAUCUGUGGUAUGAAUGUAGCAGAAAAGACCAUUUAUGCAAAAAGAAUCAGGUAAUACUUUUCCAAACGCUUGAGUUUGAUUGCUGUAUAAAGUGUGCCUGUCAUUUUUUCCAUGUCCACUUCUUUAUCUGACAUAAGAUCACAGUUCCGGUUGAGUCUGGAUUUUGUGAAAAAGCCUCGGCUAACAAACGUUUUUUUAGUUUAGUUUUGUCUUUAUUUAAAAGGCUGAAGAGAGACAAGACCAUGGUGAGUGGAGAGAGGUGGAAGACAAGCUAGUUGUCAGGCGUUGAAUCCGCAACCGCUACAAUAAGGACUGUGGUCUCAGUACAUGGGGUGUGCCAUUAAACCACUGGGUCAACAGCAGCUUUUGUGCUUUUAUUGAAAGAGAGAGAGGAAAGUGGAUAUAUCAAGAAACUGAGGAGAAAGAGUUGGGAGUGGCAUGCAAAAAAAGGCUGCAGGCUGGAAUCCUUACCCAGGCCUUCCACCUUAGGUUUAUGUGACAAGAUCUCUGACUUUGUCUGAGCGUAAAAUGUUUGUUCAUUCAUUAAAUAAAGCAUUAAUAAGAAUAGUUUCACAUAUUGUAGAUACUGAAAUCUGCGUUUUUUCCAGAUUGAACCAUGAUUUAAAUAACAUGUAGAUCACUAUCCCAAACGAGUUCACAGCGCCUUACUGCCAACAUUCCCUUUAAAAGUACAAAAAAUGAAUAUAUCAACUUAACUUCUGUAUUUAUUUGAUUGUGUGUCCAAAAAUUUAUUUUCAUAAACAUAAUACCACUUGAUGUUUUAGUCGCAUUUUUGGUGAAAAGAAAAAUAAUUUAACAGUUUGAGAUACAGCUGUGCAAAUUUUAAACAUCAUUAUAAUUUCUUAGUGAUUCAGCCAAUACGUUUAUUCUUAUUCUCUCUGACAAGUUUCAUGGUAGGACAUGAUUUUAUUAUCUUCAGAUUUGUGUGGUGUUUUCAGCUCAAUAAGAUUAUAAAUGGCACAGUCAUUCCUCUGUCAUUUUUCUAUUCCAUUUAAUGGAGUCCAAGAAACUCAAAAACAUCUUUAGUAUCUUCCAGAGACAGUUUUUGUCUAACCUUGUCUUAAAAAUCAUCUAUAUCUGAUAACCUGUAUUUUUCCUGUUAUUGUUCCUCUUAACGCAGCCAACAUGUAUAUUUGUGUAUGUAUAGUGUGCUCUGUGCAUAUCUGUACAUGUGUUGUUGCCUGGUUGGUUCAGUGUUGUAAAUCUGCAUGGGUAUCUUAAUUAUGACCUGUCAGAUAAAUCACAAAAUGUUGCUUUAAUCUGACCCUGGUACAAGACAUCAAAUGGUAAAACUUUGCUUUAAUAUUUCACAUAGUUCCUCACCAAAUGAGACGUAGAAAAAAAAUACACGAGUUGCUGAUAGACUUUCUGUCAGAGAGUGAAUUAAUUAACGGAGUCAAACCUUGUCCUCCAGUCUCAAGCCAGACCGUUAUGUGUGAGUCUAGUUAAAUAAAUAGUUUAUUCUCUCUCCCUCUUCUUCUCUCGCCCUCUCUUAGACGGAUCUGCUGCUGACCUCACUCCUUCCCCAGAGUGACUGAGCCUGAGGUCGUGUCUGUAUGAGGUGUACUCCACACUGACCCACUUUGACUCUCCCUGCCCUCACCUCCACUUCCCUUUCAACCAGUCAGACUCUGGAUGAAGAGAGGAGACAGGUUUGCUUUCAUGGAGAUUCUAACUGAGGCCAUGCAGGGGGAACAGCAGCUUUCUGGGUCUGAUAGAUAAGGUUCAGAUGAGGAACCUGUUUUCUUUUUCAACUCCUGGGAUCAUACGGUGUGCAGCAUGUGUACACAGAAUAUACACAAAGGAUGAAAAGGCCUUAUACUCUUAUACUAAAGGUGAAGAAUUGGUUUGUUAAUUUGCAAACGUGAGUGGACAAAAUAUUCAAACCACCUGUGAAAUGGAAACCAACUAAAACAGCUUGAGUAGUAAAUGUGAAAUUAGUGAGGCUAUUAAAAACAUGGUUAAACAGGACUAACAGUUCAUGUUUGUAUUAUGUGAUGAGUGAUGGUGACCCAUAACAACUCACACGACCAUAAGUGCGGGUUUGCAGAUGUGUAGAGGUAUCUGCCAAGGAUCUUACAAGGAGCCAAAAACCACAGACAGGCUUUAAGGUUAGCUUGUAAUGGAAACAGAAGUUAAAGGGAUAUUCCAGCGUAAAUUUAAGUUAGGGUCAAACACACCGUAACACCGAGUUAGACACCCUGUCGAGAGAUUGAUGUUGCCGACUGCUUGAUUCUCUAGUUAUACCAACUUUAGUAACGACCCCACAAUAGCAAUACACAGCGGUCUCAGGAGCCAUAAACAAACCUCAACCAAAACGCCACUCUAUUGCCACAAAUAAUGCUCAGAACAGCAGCUAACUUCAUCAACAGUACAUAUUGGGUCAUAGCAAUAGUACUAGCCACCAAACAUCUUUUUAACUUUGCCUAAUAUCUUUAGCAAAGAGACUAAACACAACUCACCUACUCUAUUCCAGCAGCCGCUUGUUUGUAGCGAGACCUCGUGCCAGUCCAAUACGGACUACAGCGGGGUGACGCAGCUCAAGGAAGAACAUUUAUAAUCAUUUCUUCAUGGAAAUGCAGUCAGACCAAGACGAUAAGGCAGAAGAAUUACCGCGUGCGUGAUUAUUACUCAAAGGAAAUGAUAAAAAAAUGAUCAUAAAUGUUCUUCCUUGAGCUGCGCCACCCCACUGUUGUCCAUUGCUAUCGUGCGGUCAUUACUAAAGUUGGUAUAACUAGAGAAGCAAGCAGUCGGCAACAUUAAUCUCUCGACGGGGUGUCUAACUAGUGUUAUGGUGUGUUUAACCUUAACUUAAUUUUUACGCCAGAAUAUCCCUUUAAGUAAGCAUUACAAGAGAAAAAAAGGAUCUGCAAAGGUUUAUGUAAACAUGCAAACCUAAUAUUUAUUGAAUGAUAACUAAUCUGAGCUAUUUUAUAAAUGAGGCCUUUCUGUUUAAAAUGUGAAAUUCAGCAUUUUAUGGUACCAGAUCCAACCAUUUCAAGACUCCCAAUAUCUAAAAAGAUGAAAUCUAAUUUGUUCCAGAGAUAAAACUACAAAAAAAGAAAGUUUUCUUAACUAUGACAGACAGCCAACCUCAAUUCAUCAGCUUUUAUUAUAACCAAAUGAAAAAUAGACCAACACCCACUCUUUUUUUCCACAGCCAUGUCAGUCAGUCCAUUUGAAAAAUCUGUUAAACAAGUUUGUGUGACAACCAGAUAAUGUCAUUUCAAAUGCUGAAAUGUUUCUGUUUCAAAGCCUUUAUGAGCCUUUAUGAGCCUUUAUUUCUAACUCAUAAAAAACUGUUAAACUGUGGUGCCUCUUCAUGAAGUUAAAGCUUUUAUCCAUUUUCCAUGGCAAAUAUUUGUGAUGUUGAAAAAUAAGCUGGAUGAUUUUUUUUAUGGGAAACACGGCUUAGGCAUGUCCAGGACAUGAUCAGCGAAGAUGUAGGAAGUAUCAUUUUUUCUACCAAAACCUACACUAAUCCAAAUUUCUUUGUCAGAGCUCAAAAUAGGAUAUGUGUUAAUAAAACAACUGAUUACAUUUAAUACAGUGUUAGUGUUUUGACCAAACACAGGCAGAACCAAGUUGUCCAUAGUAUAUGCAGUCUAUGAGUUGAACACAAUCCUGAAGGGAUGUGAAGCAGACACUCCGUACAUAGCUCUGUGGUUAUAGCUGUAGCAAUAAUAAUAUAAUUGAACUACUGUGCUUGUCUCAGUUUACAAGCACCAAGCAAGAAUUGAAUUAUUGGAAAAGCAUGCUAUACCAGGUGACCCCUUUCAGCUUGUGAUUCCUGGAUUGUCCCCUUAUCAACAUAUUCCUGAAACAAUCCACAAAACAGGUUGGCUACAUCAUUCAUUCACUCACAUCUGGCUCAAAGUCUUGCAUGCCAACAUUGUAGCAUGAACAGAAAGUUUAGACCAGUUUUAGUGCAAUUUUGCUGUACACAUAACAGAGAAAUGCAUCAUCCAGGUAUGUUUGUCAGACUUUGAGAAGUCUGAUUUAGAGCGGUUUCAGUCAAGCUAACAAGUUAACAUGUUUUUGAAAAGCUCAGCUCCAGUCAGACUGAAGCAUAAAAUCGAUCUUUAAUCCAAAACACCAUAAUCCUUGUAACAUCAACUUGCCCUCUGUCCCAUCUGUUGACUUCAGAAGGGUUGUGUUUAUGGUCUAUACAGCAGCCGACCAGUAGGGGGAGCUCUAAAUCUUUUGGCUUCACAGUCAGUGAAAACAUAUGGCAUCCAUAUAGAUAUACACUCUUUGGUAGACCAUAAUGCUUUCUCACCAGAGUGAAUAUGAAAACAGCUAUUUUCUUAACCCUGGUCUAGUCCACCAUAAUUGAUAAUCCAAUUUUCUAAUCUUCCAAGAUUUCAAAAGCCAUACAUGCAGUAUAAAGUCCUCAAAAUUUUAGGACAAAAACAGUGUUAGUCUUUGGAAGCCAGCUAACUCCAAAUAACUUGUGUGGAUUCUCUCUGAGAAGCUCUGUUAAAACAAUGAAGCAGCAGUUUUGGGUUUUUUGCUGGUCUACAUUAUGUUCAGCAAUCUGUCCCCUUUUCAUGUUUCUGUAGCUGUAGUUCAGAACUUCAACCAGCAGAGGGCACACAGCC
rnacentral:lncRNA from 1 species